GAGUGCCUAUGCAAGCUACAAAAGAUGCAGGAACUCGUUAUCACGGGCCAUCUCCGCUAUCUUGGUCAACGCAGCAUCGGCGGAUUGGAUGCCUGGGUCGCCCCUCGACAUCUCCGCAUAUUGAGUACACGAGGCAACUUUUGGUUUUCAACACUUCCGGCCUGGGUGAAUCCAUCGCUUCUUCCGGACCUCACCAAGCUAUCCAUCCUCGUGAGGGAGCUACAUCAGGCCGAUCUCGAAAUCCUCGGGAGGUUGCCAGCUCUCCGCUAUCUACAACUGGAGGUGGACAACAAGAACCUCGGUAUCCUUGCGGGAUUCGUUGUUGGUGCUGGUGCGUUCCCGUGCCUUGUAUUCUGUGUCUUCCGGCAAUUUGCAGUGGUACUUCAACAGGGAGCUAUGCCAAGGCUCAGAGACCUUACGUUAUUGUCGUUUUAUCUGCGGGAGGCAAGAGGAAUUGCCUGCAAUGACAGUAGUCUCGACUUGGGUCUGGGGAACCUGCCAUCGCUGCAGUAUGUCGAGGUUGCCCUGCAAUGUGAUGGUACUAGCAAGGAGGAGGCAGAGCAAGCCAAGGCUGCGCUGACGCAUGAAGCUGAAAUGCAUCCCAAUCAUCCCCUUCAUUCGAUCUAUACAGGUGCGCCAGCUCCUGAUUGUUAUUCCUUACUUGUCUCCUUCCCCCUUUCUUCUAAACUGUAUUUGCAUUUAUUCCUCUGUUUGAGAUGGUCGAUAUAUUUCAGCAUGCCUUUCUUCUAGCCCAUUUGCCUCAAUUCUUCUAAUCUUCCUUUCAUAUAUUUCGGUCUGAUAUACAGGUGGCCGCUACUGGGGUGAGUAAACAAUGAAUGCAGCACACAUGCGUCUGAGACUCAGAGCUUUGAUCGUUUCUGCUGUGCAUCAACCAAUAUGGCAUUUCGUUGCGAGAGUGUAGGAUGACAUUAUCAGUGGAUAUGAUUGUAAUCCCUGACUAACUUCCCCCUCUGUACUCAUUGCAAAGGGACUGAGCUUUACCGUUUUAUUUUACUCAUUGCAAAGGGACUGAGCUUUACCGUUUUAUUUUACUCCUGCGCCCCUAAUCUCGUUGCCUUGUAUCGUCUCAGUGGUUCAGGGCCUUGGCUGUUUAUUUUGAUGAAAACUAAAAACAAGGUAUUUUUGGGUUAAUGUUGCAGCUACCAUUGUUGCGCGGUUUCUGAUAUACUAGGCCAACUGUUAUGAAAUUUCAUUGCAGCUACCAUGCCCAAGACCACAUUCAUUCUGCACCUCUCUGAAGAGAGAUUCUAGCUGGCUAGACUUCUAGUCCAUGAUUUUCAGAAUUUUCGCGGCGGACGGAAUCACGAUCCAGAAUUUUCAAAACGCACCCUUGAACAUUUUCAAAUAACCCCCUUAUUUGGAUCGCAAUUAUUGAUCGAAAUUCAAAUAUUUACAAAACACCCCCUUUUAUUUGCAUCUAGCCCCCUAAUUUGGAUCGCAAUCUGAUUAUUUUACAAAACACAGGCCAAAAAUAACAGGACGUGAAAAGCUAGACCUUUCCACUGGUAACAUUUCAGCAAGUAUGGCACCAGGAUAAGAGCAUCAGCUAAUUGUCCAAAAAAAAGCCGAAUUCGUAAAAACAAGUGUACUUUCUUUCUGGCAGUACAGAAGUUCUCAACGCUACUUGAAACAAACAGUGUGACAGGGCUGCAGUGAAUCAGACUAUCAGCGACUGCCCUAGUGGAGUUGACAAGAGUAUGAUGAUGACAGCCAUGGCAACACACUAGGCAGAUUGGCCCGCAUCAACAUGUCCACGCUUCGUACAAAGACUGUCUAUUACUGAUCGAUGAUGGGAAUUGUAAGAAUCUGGAAGUGUUUCACAGCCUUGCAAUGACAGCUUCGACCUCGGCAGGGGUGUAGAGGUGGCACUUGGGGGCGACCUUGGCAAUAUCGACAUUGUUUGGGGUCACCUGUUCAGAAUGCGAUAAUAAGAUCACAUGUUCCCCUACAGAGCUGAGCUAUGGAGUAUGGAGUGGUUUGCCACGCCCUAACCUGCUUCAGGAUAGAAAGGGCUAUGGUCUCCGCCUCCUGGAGGGUCAGAUCCUGCACCAAGAUGUUAGCAAGUUGUUACUCUCGAUUUUCUUUCAUAGGAAUAACAGCCGACAUUUUCUAUGGAUCUGCUCCCAACAUGGCAGUAAUGCAUACACUAGUACAAGUAUCUUACUAUUACUAAUUGGAGGCUCCUUUUGAAGUCUUCACAUGAAGCCACCUAGGAAUCUUAGGUGGAUGCUUAAAAAAAGAGAAAACUCAUAGAAGCUUCCACAUGAAGCCACCUAAAAAUCUUAAGCGGACACUCUAGAAAAAGAGAGAAAUCCUAAAAAUUUUCAAAAAAAACAAAAAAAUAAUAACAAUAAGUUUUUUUUUUGCAGUCAGUUACAUAUAUUUUUUUAAGACACCGCGCUGCUAGCUCCUACCAAUGCGACGAGCAAAGCAAGCAGAUAGUAAGAUGACAUGCGUGUGGAUUCAUUGAAACAGAUUCAGUUAGUUGAUUCUAAAUCGUAUCUAUCCUAAAAGGAUCUUUAGCUAAUACAACUAAUAAACUAGAUAUGUGCGUGCAUAGUCCCGAGGGAUGACAUGUAGACAUAUAUUGCAAUUUCUUUUUUAAAAAAUAUGUCUAUCUCUAAACCAACAAAUAGAAAAAAAAAUCUAUCUAAAUCUAAAUCUCUUCCAUUCUCACACGCCUAUUAAAGAGAACACAACCAAUCCAAUCCACGUUCCAUAGACUAAUUGGAGGCUCUUUUUGAAACCUCCCCGGGCAAAAGGGGUACCUCCACAUGAAGCUACCUAGAAAUCCUAAUUUGAACUCAAACAGUAAUUUCACGCUUAUGCCUGAAACUCAAGUCUCCCUUGCUGUUAGUUUCUUAAGUUAGCUAGGAAAUGUAACUUGCUAAUCGAAAUCCGUCAGUAUCGUUGAUCUUUUUUUUUUUGGGUGGUUAGUCGUUGCAGUUCCAGUCACUGUUUGUGCAGUUAGACACAGGAUCGUCAUGCAGUUUCUUGAUAGAGCAAUCGAUCCUCCUAUCAACUGUCAGCAUUUGAAUUUUUCAGAAAACCAAACUGUAAAGUCUUGCUCUGACCACUCAAUGCAGUCCUAAUAACUGAAAAAUGACUAUGCUUAUCUGAGCGCAAAUUGGCUGUGGCACCUCCGCCCAUCUUUUUUUUGUUUUUUAGCUCUUUUUACGAAAGAUUCUCACAAAUACGUCCCUGGCGGAACCAAUUUUAAAAAUAGACCCUUAGCUUGGCGCCAUCCACGUUGGCGCCAAGCUUACACGUCUCGGCGCCAAGGUCCAUGCGCAGCUGCUGACGCGGAUGCCGACGUGGUCGGGGCUUGGCGCCAUGGAUCUUGGCGCCAAGUUUGACGCCGUAGGCCUCGGCGCCGAGCAAUUUACCCCAUACCUCCUGGCGUUUCGAACAAAAUAAGUAUAAUUAUUCCGAGAAGUGUGUAACAAACUAUGCUCUAGUUCAACUGGUUAGGAGUGUUGUACGGAACUUGGACUAGUCUCGAGAAAAAAAAAAGCACGGGAGUGUUGUACGGGACUUGGGCCCUGUUUGUAUACGCUUUUCCUAGCCACGCUUAGAUUAUAAUCUAAGCAAAGAUUUUCUCGCUUCUCGCUUUUCGCUUCUCGUAGUUCAAAUCGUUGAAGCGGCUUACCACAUAAGCGAGAAUCGGUGGAAAUAAGCAAAGCGUUUGGCGGGAUUCUCGCUUAUUUCCACCGAUAAGCCGCUUAUAAGCGGAUACAAACGGGGCCUUGGACUAGUCUCGAGAAAAAAAAGAAGCCCAUGUUCUAAAAAAAGAAGCUCCCGUGCUUUUUAGAAAAAAAUAAAAUGUAGAAAAAAAGAUUCAACACUAACCAGUUGAACUAGAAUUUAGUUUGUCACACACUUCUCGAAAUAAUUAUACUUCUUUCGUUCGAAACGCCAUGAGGCAUGGGGUAAAUUGCUCGGCACCAAGGUCUUGGCGCCAUGUGACGCCAAGAUCCAUGGCGCCAACACGUCGGCACCCGCAUCAGCAGCUACGCAUGGACCUUGGCGUCAGGAUGGCUGGCGCCGAGACGUGUAAGCUUGGCGCCAUCCACAAUGACGCCAAGCUAAGGGUUGAUUUUUGGAAUUGGUUCCGCCAGAAACGUAUUUGUGAGAACCUUUCGAAAAAGGGUUAAAAAAUAAAAAAGUCGCCACCUCCGCACCUGUUGAUUCUUCCCAGUAUCACUAUCAGUCUACUUGGUCAUACAUAGUACACACAAGACACAGCGCGUUUAUCAAAUCUGGGUGCUAUGAAGAUGGUAACAUAGUAGUCAUAGGUGCCCCAGUCUAUGAGAUGUAGCCACAAAAAGUAUCGGGUGCCUCCGUGCCUGCGCCUAACUUGGUAGUGCUAUAUCAAGUAGCAUAAUUGCAGCACUGAUGUGAAUGCCGAGUCGCAGCUUGUUUAACAAAUAGAUUGAGAAUUGUCAAGGUCACCAUCCGCAAGCAUGCUGCAAAUCCAUCCACCUGUAGCAAUAUUUCACCAAAAAGUAAAAAAAGAAUCCCGGCCUUACUUCACCUGGCGAAACAUCGAUGCAAUGGAAUUUGUGACAAGAAUAUAUGUUCGAUCAUGAUCACCACUUUUCAUCUCCAAGAUGUUAAGCAAAUAUGCCAGUGCAAAUAUUUUCUGUUCAGGGGGACAGAGGCCAUAAUCCUGCAUUCCUGCUCAGCUUUUACCAUGAUUGACUUUGUGGACUAGAUUUACAUUCAUGACGACUAUUAUGUACUAUACGGGUAUUUAGUAGCACCUUUGCGCUGUGGCGGAAGUAUAUCUUGUAUAGUGGACCUGCAAUCAGCGGCCUGGUCUCGCUUGGAUCUUUCGUCACUCGAGUGUUCGCCUCUUUUUAAAUAAUGGGAAAAGUUCCAACUUCAAAACCCUCAGGCAUCAGACCGCGAUUAUUGAUUAUUGUUGACAUUAUUAACUAAUAUGUAGAGUGAAACACCAUCCAUGGGAUGAAAAAAUUCAUAGCUCUAUACUCUAAAAACUGGCAAGCCUUGAAUCGUCAGUGCGCUCCAACAAUACCCAGAAUCGAAGCCAAUGUAUCACUCCUGCAAACAAGUUUUUAUGUACCAUUAUUAAACACAAUAUCGUUCCUUGUAAGCCAUAUUGCUCAACAAUAGAUGCAGCGACCUGUCAAUAAUAAAAAUAUUGUGCUCUCGACCCCCUAGUUUAUGCCAAUUAUUUUGUAUUUUGUGGUGGUGAGAUUCCUAACACAAUGUGUACCGUACACCAAAGAAAUUUUGCAUAAUAACAUAAAAAAGGUGUUGCAAAGUUUCUGGCUUACUAAACACAGCAAGCCUUGCUCCCAUCCCAAUUCCUCAUAGCUAGAUUGCCUUUCGUAAGUAUCACUCCCCCUUUCAAAUACCACAUAAAUAUUUUUAUUUCGAGAGAAAUCUUUGUAUGUUAAAUUUCUUGCGUAACUUUGACUCUGUUAUUGACUAGGUCCCUAUAUAUAUAUAUGUGUGUGGAGUUCACCAUGAAAACUUCAUUGUUACGAUAGAUUCCACCUAAAUAUAUCCGCACCCUCAUUCACAUUAGCAUUUGCUAUUCUCACGACAAGUUUAUACUACUCAAUUAACUCAUCCCAACUAAACUUUCACCUAAACAAAACAUUAAUUGGGUUGGUACCAAGCAACUGGUAUGUAAUUAAUGAAUGUAAUUUUCAUAAAUCCUUCCUCGUUCUGCCAGUACAUUUCCUCAGUAGUCAUGCAACUGGUGUUCAUGUUUAAUUCACUUAUUCAUGUUUAAUUUUCACGCGUCUUUCCACGUGCGAGCGGGCCCACCAUGUGCCGCUAGCACAGCACAGGGAACCACGACCGCGGCGCGCGGGCAGGGCGCGAUCUUCGCCGCGGCUCGACCGCCCUGCGCACGGCGCGAGCGGAGCUGCGGAGACCGGGUGCUUGGACGUUGCCGCCCGAGCAGAAGCCUCGGAAGAGAGAAGAGAAGAGGAGGUGGAAGAGGAUUGUGGAGAAGGCAGACCAACCUGCCCCUGACGUAGCGCAUCAGCGCGUGGGGUCCAGGACACAGUACAGGAAAUCAUGCAUCCAAUGCUCUUUCUACUACCUCUCUCAUCAAGCAUCGGUAUCCUUUUCUUCUCCACUGCUGCUUGUCCACCAACGGAAGAAAAAUGGAGGAAGGAGAUGCGGUGGCCACAAUACUUUUGCCUUUUGCCGUCGCCGCAUGGGCCAGUACAGAAUCCUAUCCACUUCUGCCUCCACCAUCGAUAAGCUUUCCCCUUGUCUCCUGUCGAUCCGGUGGUUCCAAGGCAGCAGCAAGCUUGGCGCAGGCAACUUAACAGCUCCUCGGCAGCAAGUUCCAAUCAAUCUAGCGGUGGGAAUUGUCACUUCGGCGACAAGGACUAUAAUUCAUCAUCACGCGCGUCUACAGACCGGUGAGUCCUCGCUUACUUCCGUUCUUUGUGCGCGUCUACAGACCUCCGAGAGCACUAUAAUUCAUCAUCACGCGCCCCUGCUUGCUACACCUAUACUCAUUGCUAGCUCUUGCCCAGGGACAAAUCCAUGGAGAUCGUGACAGGGGCAAUUCCAUUGAUCUCCAUACACCACUGCUGCUCACAGCUCACACAUACACACUACAAUCUCGCUCCUUGAGCCCAGAGGCAGAUCCGGCCAUGGAGGUGGUGACAGGGGCACUGCCGAGCGUCAUCACCAAGCUUGGUGAACUGCUCAUCGGAGAGUACAAUCUGCAAAAGGGGGUGAAGGGUGAGAUCAGGUUCCUCCAAUCUGAGCUCCAAAGCAUGCAGGGUGCCCUCGAGAAGGUCUCCAACACACCGGCUGACCAGCUUGAGAUUGAGGACAAGAUCUGGGCCAGGAAUCUGAGGGAGCUGUCCUAUUAUAUAGAGGACAGUAUCGACACAUUCAUGGUCCGUGGCAAGUGCAAUGAGCAGGCCAACCUGCAUGGCAUCACGAAGUUCAUUGAUAGAAGUGUUGGUUUGUUCAGAAAGGCCAAGAUUCGCCAUGGGAUUGCUACCGAGAUCAGAGACAUCAAGAGCCGUGUUGAAGAGGUGGCCAAGCGGCAUGAUCGGUACAAGUUAUCAAACAGUAAUGUGGCUAAGCAUGUCCCAAUCGACCCUCGAUUACUUUAUCAGUACGAUAAGGUGACUGAGCUCGUUGGCAUUGAGGAGGCAAGAGAUGAGAUAAUUCGGAUUCUGAUGGAAGGCAAUGAAGUGUCCAAGCAGCAAGACAAGAUAAUUUCCAUUGUUGGGUUUGGAGGCCUCGCUACGGGAAACCUCAAAUUUGCCGAGUGUAAUUACUUCGCCGAGUGUAUUAUUGCGGGCACUCGGCGAAGGACCGGUUUGCCGAGUGUAAUACUAAAAACACUCGGCAAAAAUAUUACACUCGGCAAAGAGCCUAUUUGCCGAGUGCCACCAAAAAAACACUCGGCAAACACCCACAGGGCACUCGGCAAAGAUUGAGCACUCGGCAAAGUGAUGAGCACGUGACUUCCCCGUGCCGCGACGGGCCGGUGCCGUGAUGGACGUUAGGCUUUGCCGAGUGUCGCAGGGGGCACUCGGCAAAGCCACUAGUUUGCCGAGUGUCGUGAUGGAACACUCGGCAAACCUACUACUUUGCCGAGUGUCGGCAUGGGACACUCGGCAAAGUGGCGAGUAUGCCGAGUGCCUGGGGGAACACUCGGCAUACUUUAUGGUUUGCCGAGUGUUUUUCGACACACUCGGCAAAAGUAAUUUUUUUUCCCUCCACCCUCCAAACUUUUUACACUUCACAUGUAUGGUAUUUGGCACUGCAUGGUAGAAGGUGGACUAUUUUUUGACCUAUUUGCUAUAUUUAAUCAAUUAAUUUCAUUUAGAGUAAUUUUUGCUAUGGCAACACACUAGGCAGAUUGGCCCGCAUCAACAUGUCCACGCUUCGUACAAAGCCUGUCUAUUACUGAUUGAUGAUGGGAAUAGCAAGAAUCUGCAAGCGUUUCACAGCCUUGCAAUGACGGCUUCGACCUCAGCAGGGGCGUAUAGAGGUGGUACUUGGGGGCGACCUUGGCGAUAUCGACAUUGUUUGGGGUCACCUGUUCAGAAUGCGAUAAUAAGAUCACAUGUUCCCCUACAUAGCUGAGCUAUGGAGCAUGGAAUGGUUUGCCACGCCCUACCUUCUCUUCCAUAACCUGCUUCAGGAUAGAAAGGGCUAUGGUCUCCGCCUCCUGGAGGGUCAGAUCCUGCACCAAGAUGUCAGCAAGUUGUUACUCUCAAUUUUCUUUCAGAGGAAUAACACCCGACAUUUUCUAUGGAUCUCCUCCCAACAUGGCAGUAAUAUACACUAGUACAAGCAUUUAAAUAAUGAGGUAAAAUCUUGGGGUGUCAUUCUGUGUGAGUAGCAUAUUGCCUUAAAGAUUCUAAGCAGAAUUGCAACCGACGUAUUACCCUCAGACACUGUUUCACUGGACUGAGUUUAUAUAAGAUUUAAUCGGAGCUUUGAUGCAUAAUUCCAUGUAACUAGGGUUGACAUGCAUCAUAUCUCCGUAGAACUCUGUGAUUCUUUGAUUAACUUAGCAUUUAUCCCUUGUUGUACUGCUCCUGCAAGGAGCUAUCAGCUCCUUCAGAGCCUGAUCCGAUUGCCUUUGCGUUGCAUUGCAAAAAGGUACCAGACGGGUCCGUGUAGUACCUGCAGGACACAGAAGGAAGAUGAAUUCUUAGAAGUUCAGUGGCUUUGUGUAAAUUGAUCAUGACAUCAUUACAAAAAGAUUUGUCUCAUAAUAGAGGGAUGAAGAUCCAAUGAUUGCAUAAUAACCAAACUAUAUGUCCGGGGUUUGGCUAAACAGAAUAAUGAUUUUUUCCCAACACUUACUGGGAAGCAUGAAAAGAAAUACUUCUAUACUUGAAAACUGUACGCAUACAAAUAUAGAGCAUGAGCACAUAAAACCCUGCAGAAAAUUAACAGUGAGCCUUCUUUUUAUAUAUAUCACUUAAGCUUGUUAUAGCUAAGACCUUGUCCACAUACAGAAUAGAACCCAAUACACGAUGAAGCUAACCACUAGGACAGUCCGUGUUCACAAGUUCAACAACUUUCUGUAUUUCCUUAUUUUAGAAAUUCCACUUUUCAAGUAAUUUCCCUUCCAAAGAUUUGAACAUAAUGACCACUAGCAGAGAAUUGACUUUCCAUGCGCUCCCUUUUGUCCCGGUUUAAAGUUGGCCCGGGACAAAAGGUUCAUCAACCAGGACUAAAACUCGGUCACUGGUGGGGGGCUCACCAACCGGGACCUUUUAUCCCGGUUGCAAAGGCUAGUGGAAAAAAAAGACUCUGAGAGACCUUUUAUCCCGGUUGGUAACACCAACCGGGAUAAAAGGGUCAAGAGCCUUUUAUCCCGGUUUGUAAUACCAACCGGGAUAAAAGGGGGUCAUUUAUCCCGGUUGGUGUUUCAAACCGGGAUAAAAGGGUUCCCAACGAGGUGACUGGAAGGUGGCUGGAAGAGGAUUAAAUCCUCGAACCCUUUUAUCCCGGUUUGUAAUACCAACCGGGAUAAAAGGGAGUCUUUUAUCCCGGUUGGUGUUUCCAACCGGGAUAAAAGGGUCCCCCACGAGUUAAUACAAAAGGAUAGCAUCCCCUGCAUAGUCAGAUGUGGUGUGUAGGUGGGAUGGCAAGGAAGCUACGCGUGUGGCUGGAGGUUGUGGGUUCGAAUCCCACGAACUGCGCACGUGCAUAUUUCGCGUGAAAAAUCGCGUGACUUGUGACUUGCACGCGUGUGGGGGGGGGGCCUCCUGGGAGCUUGGGAUUUUUUUUUUGCAGCGUCAGCCGUGGGGGUCUUUUGUCCCGGUUGAGUGACCCGGGAUAAAAGACCCCCCCUUUUGUCCCGGUUGGUUUAUCCCGGAUGGAUUUUCGGGAUAUUUGCACCCUACCAACCGGGACUAAAGUCCAAUUCUCUACUAGUGGACCUAGAACAAAACUGCCUAACAAACAACCAUAGUUCAUGGGAGUCAAACAAACGGUAAGUCUACUGUCUAGCCUCUACAGCAACUAGACAUAGGCUACUCAAUACAGAAACCAUGACAACCUAAAAAGAGCCAACAGAGAGCAAUUACGAUGCAUGAUAGAAAAAAUAAGUAAAGCAUCCCACUUUACCAGGACAGUUUACAAAAAAGCCAAUAAAAAGAAGCUACCAUUAAUUGCAUGGUAGUACAAUGAUUUCAUAUAGCAAAAAAAUACAGCUGUUUUUUUUAAACAUGGAUUCUAAAGCCAGUUGUCAAAGAAAACACAGUUCAGUGAGCUAAAUGGAUCAAUACUUACAAGCUAGGUCCAUUCUCAUCAUGUCCAGCAAUUAGGAGAGACACUCCAAAUGGUCGUGACUGCACCAACAGAUAAGUACAUCAGAACCCCACUCCAUAAAAUGAUUACUUUUGCACAUCUGUUCUAGUUUAAUGCUCUUUAGUCCCUCCAACCAAAUAGGGGGGAACCCUGACUAAAGGAGCAUUUAGUCCCUAAAAAUAAGUAAUUAAGGGCAAACCAAACAAGCUCUUACUGGGAAGCAGGAAAAGAAAUACUUUUAUACUUGAAAACUAUAUGCAUACAAAUAUAGAGCAUGAGCACAUAAAACCCUACAGAAAAUUAACACUAAACCUUCUUUUUAUAUAUAUCACUUAAGCUUGUUAUAUCUAAGACCUUGUUGUAGCUAAGUUUGUUACCAUUUUUAAUGAUGUAUAUCAAACAUAUUCAACAGAAAAGAGGUUAUCCUUUCAAAAUAGCAUGGUAGAUCAUGCUAGGCAUCUAACUUCUAUGAAUAUGCAACAAGUGAGGUGAGUUGCUGUCUUUCCAUCUGCUAUUAAUCUCAUGCCUGCCCUUUUGAGCUUUAGAGUUUUUCGUGUACUGGAUUUACAAGAUUGCCACCUUUGACAACGUUACAUUCCUAAGGAUCUUGAAAAUUUAAUUCACUUGAGGUACCUGGGACUAAGACGCACACAUAUUGCUCAGCUCCAUGAAAAAAUAGGAAACCUACAACUUCUUCGAACACUAGAUGUAAAAGGCAAUGGAUAAAAGGUGCCCCUAGCUCGAGCUGUGCUUUCUCUCCACUGUGGGUAAAAGGCAAUGGAUAAAAGGUGUAUCGGCGCGAAGGAAAAAUGGAGAUGCUGUGGCCACCGAAAGGGAGGUGUUGCGCAGGACCAGUACUUUUGCCUUUUGCUGUAGUCGCAUGGGCCAGUACAGAAUCAAUAAGCCUGGGGAGAGAGAGGAGAAGAGAAGAGGAUGGAGGAAAAUAAAAUAUUUUUUGUAUGUGGGUCCCACAAAAGUUUGUAAAAAUAUUUCCGCUUGCGACCAACCUGCCCUCUGCUUCGUGCUGUUCCAAGGCGGUUGCGAGCUGUGUUGCGGCCGAGCAAGCAACCUCGGUCCGGCGACGAGCGGCGGGCAGCGCGAUCCAGCAAACUAGCGAGUCCUAAGCACCGGCGACAAGGAGAGGGCGGCAACCGGUGAGUCCUCGCUCACUUCCGUUCUUUGUGCCCGUCUGCAGACCUCCGAGAGCACUAGGCACAGCACUAUAAUUCAUCGUCACGCGCCCCUGCUUGCUACAACCUUACUCAUUGCUAGCUCUUGCCCAGGGACAAAUCCAUGGAGAUCGUGACAGGGGCAAUUCCAUUGAACUCGAUACACCACUGCUGCUCAUAGCUCACACAUACACACAACAAUCUCGCUCCUUGAGCCCAGAGGCAGAUCCGGCCAUGGAGGUGGUGACAGGGGCACUGCCGAGCGUCAUCACCAAGCUUUUGGUGACCUGCUCGUCGGUGAGUACCACUAUCGGAAACCUUAAAUUUACCGAGUGUUUUUCUUUGCCAAGUGUUUUUUUCGAACACUCGGCAAACAAGCUCUUUGCCGAGUGCCAAGCUAAAAACACUCGGCAAAGAAAAAACACUCGGCAAAUCGGAUCUUUGCCGAGUGUCAACAAAAAAACUCUCGGCAAACCCGCCUCUUUGCCGAGAGUCAAAAAAAACACUCGGCAAAGAGGGGGCUUUGCCGAGUGUCAAAAAAGACACUCGGUAAAGGGGGGUUUGCCGAGUGUUUUUUUUGACGCUCGGCAAAAAAAUAAGUUUUUUUUUCUCUUCUCACCUUGAAAUUUUUUCUACUCCCCACAUACAACAUGUGGUACUUCAUAUUAAAAUUUGGUAUAUUUUUGGAUUUGUUUGCUAUAUUUAAUUAAUUAAUUGCAUUUCAAGGGAAUUUUUGGUAUAAGUCAAAUUUGAACUGCAAGUGAUUCAAAUUAUAGAAUAAAAUGAGUAGAAAAAUAAUAUUUAUGUUAUUUCACCCAGUUUGAGGCCUAACCCAUGAAAUGAAAAGAAAUUUUAAACAUCUUGCUCAGGAAACAUAACCACAAACAUGUGAUCGAAUGAUUUUUAAAUUCUAAAAAAGGCAAACGAAGUCGGAAAAUCAUGAGAUUUGCCAUGAUGUGAUGAUAUCAUACGUGGAGGUUGUGGUAAAAAAUUGAGAAGGUUUUGCACAUUUUGCCAUGUACGAUGUUUACAAACCAAAGCAUCUCCAAAGAAGAAUAGUAGCGUUGAGAAGAAUUCGAUUAGAUUUAGAGUCAAAGUGACGGUCGAGUUUUGAUUUGACCACAAAACUUUUUUUAUAUGCAAUAGAGAACAUAUAUUAUUUCAUGUGUCAUUUUGCUAUUUUUGUGGAACUGUUGGAUAUUUUUAAUAAUGCAUUAAAGGUAAUUAUAGAAUGUUUGCCGAGUGUUUUUUCUUUUCACCCUCGGCAAAAUUUUUUUCUUUUUAUUUGCUGAGUGUCCCACAUUGGGACACUCGGCAAACAUCAAAAACUACUAUUUUAACCCGGCCCGUCCCCAGCACCCCCUCCACGCCCCCACCUCCCCCAGCGCCCGACGCCCGACGCCCCCUCCGUGCAACACACCGGCCCCCCACCUCCCUCUCCCCGCCGCCGGCUAGCCACUGCCGCCGCCCCUUCCCUCCCUCCCGCUCCCUCUCCUGCCAGCGCCCCUCCCCCUCCUCUCCCCUCCUCCCUCCCCGGCGACGCGCGGUCCGUCCCUCCCGGCCGGAUCCGGCUGCGGCGCGGCCCCUCCCGGCCGGAUCCGGCGGCGGCGCGGCCCCUCCCGACCGGAUCCGACGGCGGCGCGGCCGCCCCUCCUUCCCCCAUCGAGGCCCCCUCCCCUUCUCUCCGGCGGUGGCCCCUCCCCUCCCGGCCGGAUGUGGCGGCGUGGUGGCGGGCUAACGGGCCCCCUUCCCCUUCUCUCCGGCCGUGGCCCCUCCCCUCCCGGUCGGAUGUGGCGGCGUGGUGGUGGGCGACAGCAGGCGAGCCGGCGUGGUGGCGGGCGGCAGCGGGCGAGGCGGCGUGGUGGCGGCGGCAGCGGGCGAGGCGGCGUGGUGACGGGCGGCAGCGGGUGAGGUGGCGUGGUGGCCAGCGUGGCGGCCGGUGGCGGCGUGGUGGUCGUGGCCGGCGGCCAGUGUUUUUGUUUUUUUUUAUUUUUUCCGAAAAUGUUUGCCGAGUGCUUUUUGACACUCGGUGAACCAUUUGCCGAGUGCCCGACGUUCGACACUCGGCAACUCCACUGUUUGCCGAAGGGAAGUUCGCCGAGUGUGGUUCGCCGAGUGUUACACUCGGCAAACUCUUUGCCGAAUGUUUUUAGGCCUUCGCCGAGUGCCUGGGGCACUCAGCAAACUUCCUGUUUCCGGUAGUGUACAAGCUGCAGAAGGGGGUGAUGGGAGAGAUCAGGUUCCUCCAAGCUGAGCUCGAGAGCAUGAAGGGUGCUCUUGAGAAAGUCUCCAACACACCGGCUCACCAGCUUGACAUUCGGGACAUCAAUGACACUAUACAAGGGCUUGCUCUAUCAAACUAUACAAGGGCUUGCUCUAUGAUCUAAGCAAGAACAUCAAUGACGAAGUAUUAGAUGAGAGCAUUUGUGGUACCUAUGAAGUUUCUUUUGACACCGAUAAUUACACUCUCCAUUCGUAAUACUAAGUCUAAAUAUGGUUCAUUAAAUCUUCAUGCGCGUCCCUUGUUAACUGACAAAACACAGCCACUUCAUCUUUAUCACAUCAUUAUUAACUGAAAAUAAUAUGGCAGCAUCUAAAGUCUUUGUUUUGUCAAAGAUUCUGAGUAGACUUAUUUUGUGUAGAAACUCGAUAAUCUAGCUGCUUCCUAACUAUUUUAGUUUAAUCAUUAAAUCACUAUUGUCUGGUCUUCCUAUUACUAAUUGGAGGCUCCUUUUGAAUUUUGAAACCUCCAGGUGAAGCCACCUGGGAUUUCUAGGUGGACACUCUAGAAAAAAAGAGAAAUUCUAGAAAUUUUCAAAAAAAAAGCAAAACAUCCGACCAUCAAUAGAUUCAAAUCAUCAUAGCUAUUGAAUCUAUUAUAUUUUUUAAAAAAAUUACCCACCUAUGCUAUUAUGAAAAUAGCCUAAAGUAACCUCCUAAAUCUAUAUAUAAAUUACGCACAUCUACCAUUAUAUAAAAUAAACUAAAUUAACCCCCCUAAUCCUCAUCAAAAUUACCCACUUAUGCCAUUAUAAACAAUAUUUAAAAUAACCCCUAAUUUACAACUGAAUUGCCUACCACUGUUACUUAAAAAACUUAAAGUAACCCCUUAAAUUUGCAUCUAUAUUACCCACGCAUACUAUUAUUAAAAAUAACAUGAGGUAACCCUAUGUUUGAAUCAAAUAGCCUUAAUUAAAAAUAUACAGCAAUAUAUGACUCUAAAUCGUCUAUAUCUUGCACUAUUGGUAUAUGAUAUAAUAAUUAAGGUCUAUACGCAGAUGCGUGUCACCAUUUAUAAGGAUAUAAAGUGAUGGGAAUAUAGAUUUCUAUGCUAAAAUUGUAUCUCAAACUUAGGAUUCAUUAAACAAAUUCAAGCGCAUACCUGUGAUCCAAAAUGAAAAGUUAAAGGUUAUAAAUGUAGAUGAAAAUAUUAUAGAGUAAUUACUAACUAAAAUCUAUUCAAUUGGAUAAAGAUAUUAAGUAUAAUAAGUAUUGUAUUUGAAUAUGUAACAAACAAGAGGUAGCUUAUGGUAAUAGUUUUGUAGUAAUGUAGUCUUAUUUUUUUUCACCGGAGAUUCCGCAUUAGUUCCCACGAGACAAGCUAGAAAAAAGAGAGAAAUUCUCAUAAAAAUUAAAAACAUCAAAACCAAUCCUGUAAACUCUAAUAAUCAUAGCCAUUGAUCUAUUAUAUUUUCUAAAAAGUUACCCGCUACUGUCAUGGUGAAAAUAUUCAAAAAUGAGCUCUAAACCUAUAUCUAAAUUACCGAGCUCAGCUAUUAUAAAAAUAAUCUAAAGUAACCCUAUAAUCUUCAUCCAAUUUACUAAUGCACAUCAUUAUAAAAUCAUAACUUAAAAUGUCAUUCUAAAAUUUUAUCUAUAUUACCCACGUACAUCGAUAUUAAAAAUAACCUAAAGUAAAUACCUAAAUAUUAAUCUAAUUAUUUUCAUGUACAUCAUACAUAAAUGUUAAAAAGUAAACUAAUAUAUGAUUCUAAAUUACCUAUUUAUUUCAUUGUUAAUAUAAAAAUAUAAAGUUAAAGUAUAUACACAUGAUGAGUACCACCAUUAUAGACCAUUUAUACAUGUAUGUGAGGAAUCGAUGAAAAAUAUUGAUUUGUAUGCUAAACAUAAUGUAUGGAGGAUUGGAGGUGUGAUACAAAAUGGAAAAAGUAUGAAUAUGGAUAAAAAAGUGCAUAGAGUAAUUAUUAAUUAAAAAUCAAACAUAAUUGGACAAAGAUAGGUACAUAUCUAUAUGAUUAUAAUGUUGAAGUAUUGGAAAAAUAAGAGAGUAGUAGGUAAAUAAUUUUGAUUAUUAGCUAAGAGUUUAAUUUCUAAAUAAUUUUUAUAUACAAUACUUUCUUAAAAAUAUUAGCCCAUGCGGGAGCACGAGUUGAUGGACUAGUUUUUUACUAGUUAGAGUGUCGCUCCUGUCACGGUACGCGCCGAAGACUUGACUUUGACUAGUAAGUCAACAGAAUGCCAGAUUGCCAGUCCCAACUUAGCCUGGCAGGUUGAAUUCGCAGGGUUCGAUCCCCUUGGCCUUGGGUUAUCGCUCGCCGUCUGGCAGAAGCCCAUGCCGGAGCAGGAGCCGUCCACUAACUCCAACAGCUUCCUGGACGUCGAGACGCACACACGCUCUUGUACCGCGUGCCAUUGGGGUCGAGGAUUAUGCCCAGCGUGUUGCAGCCGACAAUGACGAACUUGUUGUGGACAUAGGAGAAGUGUACUUUAAUGUACCAGAAACUGCCCUUUCUGUACCAUGUGCGUGCAGAUAUGACGAACAAGUCAGUACUAUGAAGGAGUAACCGUCCACAACAAACCAGAUCAUAAAUAAAAAAUUUAGAGAAACUACGACUUGAGUAGUAAUGCAUUUGGUGAGUUUAUGUGGAAAGUUAUGAGAAUUGUUUUCGUAACAAUUCACCGGAUGUUGCGACUUUGAAUGCUUCGCGAAAAGUGACAAAUAAAGCUGGGAGUCGGAUGCGGUCGCCACUCUCCAGAUGAUAUCGUGUGGUUUGAUGGCGUUCUCCUUAACUUCAUGGGAGAUUCAUCAUUCUUGGAAGAAACCCCCUCAAGAUCACAAUUUGAAAUCCGGCUGCGACACCACAUGACGAAAUACCUGAUGAAGGAGGGGGCCGGCGCCCCACCACACUGUUGCAUUAUAUUGUAGUUGUAGGCACGCUGCGGCCUUCCGCUGUCCGUAAAUGCGGUACGUCUUGGGCUGUUUUGGACUCUCCAAACGUGGCACGGCAUGGUUUGCCCACUCGCUAAACGACCAGAUCAGACAACAGGGUACGGCAACGCGGCGGGGCGGGGCGGGACGACGGCAAUUCCCCUUGCCCCUCCCGCCUGCGUGUCUCGACUCCCGUCCUGGUACGCCGUGGUGGGCAGAGAUUUAGCAGACUGGCAGCCAACGCAAUUGGGCACGUUCCUUCACGGCAAGGCGUGAUUCGCAUGGCCGCAACUAGCAAGCUAGUCUGGCGCGCGCGCACGUAGCCGUAGCCGUUCUGCGCUGCAGUAAGCUUCCGAUGGCAAUUGGCAACGGCGACAGUUCGACGGGUAUGGCUUUGCUGCAGAGUGUCCAAACUCCAUACACUGAGGAUCGAGGAGCAAAAGCCAGCGCAGAGAUUUCAAUGCUUAAUGGCCUAUUGUAAUCAUAUUUCUUCUUCUUCUUCUUAUAUCUAUAGCAUAUCUCUUGCCGUCCGGUUAAGCAAAAUAAAGAGAGAUUAAGGAGCAACUCCAGGUGUUGUGAGCGAGAUGGAUGCCGUUGUCACCCGAUCUAAUGAGGCCGUGCCUCCAUCCCUCAGUGCCCGUACCUGCCUGAGUCAUGUGGAAUCCAAAAGGCCUGCAGGGCCGAGAGAUCUUUGGAGCCCAUGGUUAUCACCACUCCAUGCUUCCAGUACGUUAUUACAGCAAGGGUAGCACUCAUGUGUUUUUCGUUAAUAGUAAACAGCAGACCACAUAUGCAGACAUGUGCAUUGAAACAGAGUGCAUAUACAGAGAGGCAGAGCUUUGUAGUGUAUAUAUAUUGUACCAUACGCAAGUAGAUAGCAGACCAGCUACUAGCUCGCAAAUGCCCUAGCAUGCAGAAGUUUUAAGGAACUACAGUGCACUAGGACAUAUGCUUUGAUCACCUGGCGUAGUACGAACUUCCUGGGUUCAUGGGCAGGCUCUCACCUUCUUGUGUAGGAUAACCAAUACUAGUGGCACCUUCUAUUUCAAAGCUAGCAGUCGACGCUCCACCGAGAAGACUCUGAGCCUCCAUCUCAACAUCGACUUGUACCCAAGGAUGCAGUGAAAGCUUCCUCAAUCUGCCGAGCUCAUCGGCGAUCUCCUUCAUCGAUGGUCUGUUGCUGCCACACAUGUCCAGGCAUUGCUUGGCUAGCUCCGCAAGGCCUCUGAUCAAUUCAUUGUUCUCUUGUCCCUUUACAUGGCUCGGCAAGAUCGCAUCAAGGUUGUUCUCCUUCAUAGCGGACAAGAAAUUUGACGACAGACUUCUUUCCGUCUCAGGCCCAUCCAACUUCAGAGGCUCUUGGCCAGUGAGUACCUCUAGAAGGAUAACACCAAAGCUAAAGACGUCGCUUUUCUCUGUCAAUUGGCAUGUCAGCAUGUAUUCAGGGUCGAGGUAGCCACAGGUACCUUGAACCAUUGUGACAUACUGCUCUUUAUCUGAUGGGGCUAGUAUGGAGGCUCCAAAAUCUGACACUUUUGCCAUGUAGUUUUCAUCUAAAAGAAUAUUGGCAGUCUUCACAUCACCAUGGAUAAUUGGGGGAGAUGCGUAUGAGUGUAGGAAAUUGAGACCUUCAGCUGCUUCAUGAGCAAUCCUUAAUAAAGUGCUGAAAGAGAUUUGUAAUGCUUGGUUCUUGCCAUGGAUAAGUUCAAACAGUGUGCCUUUUGGGAUGAAUUCAUAGACCAACAUUGGAACUUCCACCUCAAGGCAACAACCCACUAGUUUGACAAUGUUCUUGUGGUUGAUCUGGGAGAGUAUUAGCAUUUCUUGUCCAAAUUCCUUCUUUUGUCUUUCAUCAAUAAGUGCACAUCGCUUAAUCGCAACAGGCAUGUUGCCCUUAACUAUCCCUUUGUAGACUGUUCCAUGGCCUCCUUUUCCAAUUAUUCUGCUCUUGUCGUAGUUGUUUGUGGCUUGUAUCAGUUCAGCUUCGCUAAACACCGUGAAAGCAAGACCUUUUUCUGAUCUCAUCCUCUCAAACAGAAUCAUGCCCCCAUGUUCUCGAAAAUGUUCUUGCCUAACUUGGUUCAGCUUUCUCUUUUGAAGAAUCAUGUAUCCGAAGGAGGAGAAAAUCACGAGAACAAGAGAGCCGACUGCAACUCCUGCAUAAAAGCAUCGAAUAAGAGCAUAUUGUCAGAAAACGUGCUUUCCUUCUUAUAUAUAUUGCCAUGUGGCAUUUCUCAAAUAUAUUGGUCCAGCAAGCUGAUCUCGGCGUCCUACCUAUUAUUAAGCCAGUAUCAGGGUCGCAUGUGGUUCUUUGCCUGUUAAACUUCCUUCCUGCUCGACAAGAACACCGGUAGCCUCCUUCCGUGUUGUGGCAAACACCGCCUGAAGGGCAUGGGCGGCUACUACACUCAUCAACGUCUGCAGUAAGAUGAGCAAAACCAAGAACGAUAAAUACAAGUUUAGAGAUUGAAUAUUGUUCAAAGAUAUUGUUAGUCAUCUUAGCAUACUCGUUACCUUGGCAUCCACCUUGAAGAUACGGGUUGCCUUGGUACCCUUUGGAGCAGUUGCACAGGUACCCUAGCCCGUUGGCUGAAUCCACGCACCCGCUGUUGGUGCUGAGGCAUGCGUAAGUGCCCGUGGCGACCUCACAUGUCGUCUUGUUACUUAUCGCCCAGUCCAUCACCACUGGUGCUCGCCCAAUUCUUGUGUCAUUGAACGUGGUCGUGCUGAUGUACUUGGUGCUGAAAUUGAACGCCUCCGCCUCCAUCAGCACGGCGUAGCUGCAAGGGCUGAACCUCUGAACUUUGCUUGUGUUGAAACCGCGACUGAACAAGACCUCGUAAUAGCCCAUAUUCCUAGGUAUGGCUGUCUGGCAGCAGCCAAUUCCGGAGCAGGGUCCGUCCGCUAGGUCUGACAGAUUCCGGCAAGUUGAGACACACCCACUUAGGUAACCGGUGCUGGUGUUGUCGUAGAUAUAGGCGAGGGUGUUGCAGCCAAUGACGGUGAACUUAUUGUGGACGUCUGAGAAUCGGAAUGGGCCACCUCUUAUGUCGAGCCACCAACGAUUAUCCUCCAUCUGACCGGAGGAGUUGUUGUAGCAGUAUGUUGAGAUUUGGUUGAGCACCCUGAUCGUGCCUUGAGCCAAGGAAAUGUUGAGCACCUCCACGAAACCGAGGAAUGGCUUGUAGACACCAUCGUGGAUCUGGCAGCUGACGUUGAAGCUGCUUGACAGCGAGCAAUUGUCACCGAUGCCGAACGGGUACGGAAUCUCAACACCGCCACACUGCGUUUGGCAUUGAGAGCUAGGAACCGCAAGAGCGGGGUCGUGCUUUGCUGCCAACAGAAGUAGAAAACCAAGACCAAGCUGCAGAAAGCGCACUUCCAUAUAUACUCCUUGGCUGGAUAACUAGAAAGUAGAAAUCAUGAUGUUGCGAAGGUAAGAUAAAUCAGUGGAUGCACCGUAUACCUAAUAAGUUCUGCUUUGUGUACUACAUGUACUAAAAGAAAAUUCCCAUUAUGCACGCUUAAAAAAUUAUUGAUAAAAAUCUUCACACAUGCAGACAUGCUCCGUGAAAAGAAACAAAAAGAUAGCUGAAAAGGUACUAAUGGGUUAUGGAACCCCCAAUAUCUUCAAGUCGAAGAAUAUUAGGUUUCAUGGUCAAAGGAAUAUAAUGUUAGGUAAGGACAAGACAAUUCCAACAAAUCGAUCUCUCGCUAAUUAAAAAACCGUGAAGUAUCUCUCAUGCAUAAUCAGCAUGUAAGGCCGGAUUGGUUUGACUUGCUCAAGGAAAUGCUAGUAAAGCAUGGUUUUGCAAAGCAGUCAUGGUAAUUUAAAGACGGUUUAGUGUCUUGCAUUGGGAAUAUACGAGCGUUCAUCUUAUUGGCGUAGCAUCUAAAAGAAUCUAAAAUCAACCUCUUCACAUGCAGAUAAAAGAACUAAAAGGGAAGAGGGCUGAUAAACUAAACUGUUGAUGAGGAUAAACUUAGUAGAAGAAUCAGCAUGAAAUAGCAAGGGAGUACAGCUUUCAUCGAAUUAGUAUAUGUACCUUAGCUUUGAGGAGAGGUUUUUGAGCCUAUCUUCCCCGGAACGCCGAGAGUCGCCAACGUAGAGAACUGAUUGACUGAACCUUUGGAGAUUGCUUCGGUUAUUUGUUCUAACAAGAGCAGACAACCCUAUGUGCGUUGGAGUAUAUAGGAAGUGCACAUCCACAUCACUGUACGGGUCGUCGGGAAUGAGUCAAGACACAGUGCACAACAGAGACCAAGUCGUGGCAGACAGUGCCUGCAAUUUUUUCCGGCCUCAAGUACCCACCAGCGAGAACGCAUCAUCAACAGAUAAUGACAUAGUUAGACUUUGAAAUUAAUCUUUUUCGGUGGAUAAAAUUGUUGAGGAGGAUAACUACUAAUGCAAAAACUUAGCUUCUCAUUUUUCAGAUAAAAGGAAGACAUAAUUUUAGCCUCUCUCAUUUUGUGAUGACCUAAACACAAGCCAGCCGCCCAUCUCUCUCUCGCGCGCGCGCUGCCACACACAGGAUUCCAGGAGAAGUGGAGAAAUGGUAUAAAUUAUUCUAAUUUUUGCCUGAAUUCUGAAAGAACUCACGAUUCAAACGAUCUUGGGAAUGUUUUCUGCCUUUUGCCGGACGCCCGGACUCUUGCUUCAGCUGAAUAAUCCAUCUUGGAGUGGUAAGGUAACCUAUAUUGCAAUUAAGUUUGAAAUGACAAAAUUGGAACCUUCUUUGCUACGAGGGUGAGAAAUUGGAAACAGACACCGAUGGUCAUGCAAGGCGACAGUGUAACACGUGUGGUGAAUUUUUAACGCUGUUCUAUACUUCUAUCUCUUGGAAAAACGAAACUUCCUCGUAGAAACUUAUCUCGCGUCAACGUACGUGGUCGUCGCGAGUCAGUCAACGCACAGCAGCGAUUGAGUCUAAAGAAACUUUUGUUUCAAAAAAAAAAACAGGGCCUUCAAAUACGUCCUCCAGUACUUUGUCUUAACAAAGAUAAAUCUUGGAAAAAAAACAAAGAAUACGUCCUAGCGUGUAAAAACGAUGUCGUGCAGUGGUAAGCUUAUUAUUCCUACCACACAAGCCACUGCAAGUUGAAAAAUGAUAAUAUUGGGGUCUUCUUUGCUCUGAGCUAGGGUGACGGUGCUGGAAAUUGGAAUCAGUCACCGAUCGCCAUGCAAGGCGACAUUGAGAUCUUCUUUGCUCUGAGGGUGAAAUUGGAAACAGUCACCGAUUCCAUGCAAGGCGACAGCGUAACGUGUGGUGCAUUUUUAACCGUGUUCCAUACUUCUACCUCUUGGAAAAAUGAAACUUACUCGUAGAACAAAACCACUACUGGAAAAAUGACGUCCAGUACCGAUUAGUAACCCCCUCUAGUACCGAAUGUGCAACCGGUACUGGCAAUCCGGUACUAGAGGGGGUCCUUUAGUACCGGUUAAAAUACCCGGUACUAAACCCUUUAGUACCGGUUAGGGGUACUAGCCGGUACUAAAGGGAUUCCCACGCCACGUGGGGAGGUGGCCUUAUUAGUAUUGGUUGGUAUCCUCAACCGGUACUAAGUUUUUUCUCCUUUUUUUCUUCUUUCUGUUCCUUUAGUCUAUAUUCAUAUUUCGUAUUUGUUUCCUUUACAUAUAGUUAUUCUAAUAUGCUAAUUUAUGGUGGGUUCUAUUUAGAUUUAAUAUAAUAUUUAAAAUAAUCUUAUAUAUAUACAUAUUGUGUAUACACAUAUGAAUAAUAUUACAAUUGAAACUUAAUAAAAAUUUGGCACUAGACUAGAUCCUGAACUAUGGAACUCCCCCGCAGGAUUUGUGACCUCAUCCAAAAGAAAUCUGAUCUUGUAUUUCCCUGAAAAAUUCGGUGUGGUCUAGUUCUUCCUUCCUGUUCCUCUCUUCUUGUUUAUCAUUUGCAAAUGAAUUAGAAAUACUUAAUCUAAAGUUAAAGUAUAUUAACUUUUUUUAAGUAUAAGCAUAUUAAUUUUGUAUACGUACAAUUAUUUGGUGUUCGAUGGUAUGCAUCAGAUCCACAAAUUCGUGGAUGAAGUUACAAACAUAGUAUCCGCAAUAAUGAGUACCCUCCUGCUGUCUCAAAAACUAUAUAUACGGAAAAAAAAGUUAUGAAAUAUUUGUUAUGCUAAAGGAAGUGUCACGAGAUUUGAAAAUUGAACACACACCGGGAAAUCUAUAUGCAAAACAAGUUUCUUGUUGUAAUCACACUUGUGAGUUUUAAGAAAUUGAGUCCAGCAUUUGUUCAGAGUGCCCAUGAGGUUAUUGAAAAAUUUUUUGGGUUUCCUCAAGGAGUCUCAGAUAGUCACUAAGCUCUGAUCGGGGAUAAUAAUAAUGAGUACCCAAUGGUACCUGUAGAUCCAAAUUGAAGGUAGUUAGUAUUAUGUGUAAGUGCUAGUUUGGAAAAGAAAGAGAUGGGAAAAACGCUCACUCAAAGUGCCAAGGUAUUAAUAUACAGCUCUUCUCCCAGUGCCAAGGUACUUUUGCCUUUUGCUUUUCUUGCGACCAACCUGCCCUUGACUUGACCUCGAGCAUCAAUUAUUAAUUGCCUUUCCCUUCCCCUGCAUCCGCAUCCCAUCGACCUCUGCUUCGUGCUGUUCCAAUCCAAGGCAGUUGCGAGCGGUGAGCUCCGGCGAUGAGCGGCGGGCAGCGCGAUCUGGCAAACCAGCGAGUCCUAAGCCCCGGCGACAAGGAGAGGGCGGCCGGUGAGUCCUCGCUCACUUCCGUUCUUUGUGCCCGUCUGCAGACCUCCGAGAGCACUAGGCACUCGACAGCACUAUAAUUCAUCGUCACACGCCCCUGCUUGCUACACCUAUACCCAUAGCGUACAACCUUACUAAUUGCUCUGCCCAGGGACAAAUCCAUGGAGAUCGUGACAGGGGCAAUUCCAAGCCUCCUCGACAAGCUUGGUGAGUUGCUAGUUGGCGAGUACAAUCUGCAAAAUGAGGUGAAGGGAGGGAUCAUCUUCCUCCAAGAUGAGCUCAAGAGCAUGCAAGGUGCCCUCGAAAAGAUCUCGAGGACACCAGCAGAUAAGAUUGACAACCAGGACAAGAUCUGGGCUAGGGAAAUGAGAGAGAUGUCCUACGAUAUAGAGGACAAUAUUGACACAUAUAUCGUGCAGUGCAAGGGGAGGAAGAGGAAGACGGACGAACAACAUAGCUUCAAGGAAGCCAUUGAUAGGAUCCUCGAAUGGUUAUGGCAGCCUAUGAUUCGUCGUAAGAUUGCUACAGAAAUCAGAGAGAUCAAGAGCCGUGUCAUCGAGGUGCAUAAACGGCGCCGCAUGUAUGAGGUCAGCCUUGGUGUUGAUAAGCCUGUAACUGUGGACCCUCGUUUAUUCGCUCAGUACACGGAGGUGAAAGAGCUUGUUGGCAUUGAUGAGGCAAGGGAUGAGUUAAUCAAUAAGAUUUUGAUAGAAGGGAAUGAAGUUCCCUUGAAGCAAGGCAGGAUAGUUUCAAUUGUUGGAUUUGGAGGCCUGGGAAAGACAACUCUUGCCAAUGCAGUGUACAAAAAGAUUAGAGCACAAUUUGAUUGCUAUGCUUUUGUUUCUGUUUCUCAAAUUCCUAACCUGAAGAAACUGUACAAGGGCUUGCUAUAUGAUCUUGGGAAGAGCAUCAACGAAGAAACAUUGGAUGAGAGGCGACUCAUAGAAGUACUCAGAGAAUUCCUUGAAGACAAAAGGUAAGAAAGCAUUCCUUUGGCCAAUUUAUACAUAUGAACCUUUUUUGGACUGAUAAUUUAUGCCUCUGUUCACAAUACUAUAAGUCUGCAUAGGGUUAAUUAAAUGUUCAUGCACGUGGCCACAACCACUUAAGCAUUACCACAACAUUAUUAAGUGCAAAUAAUUUCCUCACUGGACCUCGAUUUGUUUUGACAAAAUUCUGAGUGGACUUAUUUUAUCCACGGACUUGCCAAUCCACCUGCUCCCGAGCUAUUUUAGUUUAAUCAUUAAACCAUUAGCAGUGGUCUGAUUUGCUUAAUUUUCUUGUAGCUGGUAUAUGAACAACAUUAGAGCUUUAUUCAGUCCUUAAACCACUAUUUUUGGCUAAUAACUUGGCAUACGUGUAGGUAUUUUGUUGUUGUUGAUGAUGUAUGGGAUUUAUCAGUUUGGAAAAUGAUUAGAUGUGCUUUGCCUGAUAAUGAUGUUGGAUACACUAUUAUUACAACCACCCGUAUUUCUCAUGUUGCUGAACAAGCUGGGGGUGCUUACAACAUGAAACCUCUUUCUUUGAAUAACUCCCGAAAACUACUGUAUAGAAGAAUAUUUGGUAAUGGGAACAAAGAGAACAAUGAAGAAGAAGAAAAAUGUCACGACGAGCUGGUCGAAGUAUCUGACAGAAUAUUGAACAAAUGUGCUGGUGUGCCAUUAGCUAUAAUUACGAUGGCUAGUUUGCUGGAUUGCAAAGCAAGAGAUAAAAUGGAGUGGUAUGAUGUGUGCAAUUCUAUUGGUACUGGUCUGGAAAACAAUCUAGAUGUGGAGAAUAUGAGAAAGAUUUUGUCAUUUAGCUAUUAUGAGCUACCAUGCCAUUUAAGGGCUUGCUUGUUAUAUUUGAGCAUGUUUCCUGAAGAUUAUGAAAUUAAGAAGGAUCGUUUGAUAAGGAUGUGGAUAGGUGAGGGUUUUAUCCAAUGUGAAAAAGCAGGGAAGAGCCUAUUUGAACUCGGAGAGAGUUACUUCAAUGAGCUUAUAAAUAGAAGCAUGAUCCAACCAGUAUAUGAUUUUGAUGACAUAAUAAUACAAGGUUGUCGUGUACAUGAUAUGGUGCUUGAUCUUAUCCGCUCCUUAUCAAGUGAAGAAAACUUUGUUACUAUACUAAGUAAUAUGGGAGGCACAUCUCCGCCAAAUACAAUUCGGAGGUUGUCCCUUCAGAAUGGCCAGGAAAGUCAUGUGAUGGCUCAAGCUACAUGGAGCUUGCAACAUGCAAGGUCAGUUGUUGUCUUUCCAGCUGCUGCUUUUCUAGUGCCGCCUCUUGACUGCUGCCGAGUUUUACGUGUUCUGGAUUUAGAGGACUGUAAUCUUUCACAAGCUAAUAGUAGCCUUAAGUACCUUGGGAAUAUACAUCACUUGAGGUACUUGGGACUUCGUCAGACAGGUAUUUCUCAGCUCCCGGAAGAAAUAGAAAACCUGCAUCUUCUACAAACAUUGGAUGUGAGCCACAAUAAAUUUCUCAUGUUGCCUUCGAGUGUUGUCCAGCUAAGAAAGUUGAUGUGCCUAUACAUUGACGGAUUUAUAACUGCACCGGACGGAAUUCGAAACUUGACAUGCCUUGAACAGCUGUUAGGGUUAUGCAUUGAUCCCUGCACUAGAAACGUUAUAGAAGAGUUGGGCCAGCUAACUGAACUGAGGCAGCUGUCCAUUGAUUUGGACGAGUGGAACGACAAGCUGUUGGAGUGCCUAUGCAAGCUACAAAAGAUGCAGGAACUAGCUAUCGGCAAUAGGGGUCAACGCAGCAUCGGCGGAUUGGAUGCCUGGGUCGCCCCUCGACAUCUCCGCAUAUUGGAUACACGAAACAGCUGUUGGUUUUCAACACUUCCGGCUUGGGUGAAUCCAUCGCUUCUUCUGGACCUCACCAAUCUAAAGAUCGCCAUGAGGGAGCUACGUCAGGUUGAUCUCGAAAUCCUCGGGAGGUUGCCAGCUCUCCGCUAUCUAGACCUGCUGGUGGACAAUAAGAACCUCAAUAUCCUUGCGGGAUUCGUUGUAGGUGCUGGUGCAUUCCCGUGCCUUGUAAACUGUUACUUCACGAAUUUUGUGUGGCCAGUGGUAUUUCAGCAUGGAGCAAUGCCAAGGCUCAGAGGCCUUGAGUUCUGGUGGUUUUAUCUGCGGGAGGUAAGAGGAAUUGCCUGCAAUGAUGGUAGUCUCGACUUGGGCCUGGGAAACCUGCCAGCGCUGCAGAACGUCUAUGUUGACCUGCAACGUGAUGGUGCUAGCAAGGAGGAGGCAGAGCAAGCCAAGGCUGCGCUGAGGCAUGCAGCUGAAAUGCAUCCCAAUCGUCCCUCACAUUUGAUCGAUAUUAUAGGUGCGCCAGCUCCUGAAUGUUAUUCCUUACUUGUCUCCUUCCCCCUUUCUUGUAAACUGCAUUUGCAUUUAUUCCUCUGUUUGAGAUGGUGGGAUCUCCGGGUGAUCUUUCACCACGCCUUUCUUCUAGCCCCUUUGCCUCAAUUCGUCUAAUCUUCAUUUGGUAUAUUUCGGUCUGAUAUACAGAUGACGAGUAAUAUAAGAGUUUACGCCGGAAGCUGGAGCAGAGCAGAUGACAAAGUCCUUCUGUUUCGCCACGCAUGCAGAGGUUAAACUGCUCGGCCACGAGCUUUACCAGACACCCUCAGACUCAGAGCAUGCGUCUGAGACUGAGAGCUUUGAUCGUUUCUGCUGUGCAUUUCGUCGCGAGAGUGUAGGAUGACAUUGUCAGUGGAUAUGAUUGUAAUCCCUGACUAACUUACCCCUCUCUACUCAUAUUACCGUUUAUUAUAGUCAUUGCAAAGGGACUGAGCUGUCUCCUGCGCCCCUGACCUAGUUGCCUUGUAUCGUCUCAGUGGUUCAGGGCUUUGGCUGUUUUUGGGUUAAUGUUGCAGCUUGUGAGCGUAAUCAUCUUGUGAGCCGUAAGCAUGGACGGCAGUAUGUAUUCAGUUGAUCGACCGUACUUGCAGACAUUUGAUUUGUUCAUUAUUCAGUUGCUAAAUCAUACGGAUCAAGGCAUCAAGAAGUCCAUGGUAACAUUUGUAGAUGCAGGAUUGGGCCGCAGCAGCAGUAGACGAGCCCGCUGUCCGGGUUGAAACCCAAGUACUUGCACCUUCAUACAGAUUAUCUUUUUCCGGAUGCUACUGGACGGCGCUGCCAUCAGCUGACAAUGCAGCAGCGGCGAUGAGCAGAGGCAUCAGCGGUGGCACAGUGAUGGCGAAGACGAAAAUAUAGAUAAAAAUAGAGAGAUAGAUAUGGAUACAUAUAGACAUAGAUUUUAAGGACCUUGAUCCUCGAAACAUAUUUUACUCUCUUAAUUGACCAAGUUCUGUGCGUUAGAAUUAGGAAUUAAUUGAAAAAUGCAAAGGCAAUACACGGUACAUGGUUCAUGCGGGAGUACGGGUUGAUGGACUAGUGAAAUCUAGAUUACAUGGUAAGAAGGGAUAGUGUGAUUGGGAGGAUGUCCUUUCGAUCCUUGAAAACUUGUUACACGUAUAUUUUGUGCAAAUAGUGUGUGACUUGUAAUUUGCGACUCGCAACAACUUGGGUAGAUCGGGGAUUACAUCCAGAUUUACGGAUUUUUUUCUUGCUAUCUUUUGGUUCUACUAUCUCACUGGCUCUUAUUGCAAGUCGGAAAGGAUACUAGCAUCUCUAUGGCCAUGCAACAACGGCACGAUACCGCCGGCUUGAAAAUAGAUACGGAUGAGCAUAUUUGUCUUUGCUCCUUUUAUUUGCCACUUCCUGGCGUCAUGCGACUUCUACAGUCAACUAUAGCCCCUUUUGGACUUGUCUUGCCUUCGCUUAUUCUCUUCUCCAUCCAUUUGGUCUGUUUCUACUAGUGAUAUUCCAUUCAAUACUAUCUUGAUUUACUAAAUCUUUAAUAGCCCUCUAGUUAGCAUAGCUUAAUUAAACAUUCUAUAGGAGAAAAAACUAACUUAUUAUAAAGUUUAAUUUGCUAGUAACAUGGCUUUCUUGAAUUAUCUGGUACAGGUACUUCAUUCUUAUUGAUGACAUAUGGAAACUCUCAGACUUCAAAAUGAUUAAACGUGCUUUGCUUGGUAAUAAUGCUGGAAACAAAAUAAUCACAACUACUCGUAUUCUCAAUAUUGCUGAACAAGCUGGCCGUGCUUACAAGUUGCAACCCAUUUCUCUGAACAACUCUCGGAAACUAUUUUUGAGAAGAAUAUUUGGUAAUGACAACAAAGACAACAAUGAAGAAGAAGAAAGAUGUUCUAACGAUGAGUUGGCCGAAGUAUCUGACAAAAUACUAAAGAAAUGUACUGGUGUGUCAUUAGCUAUAAUUACGAUGGCUAGUUUGCUAGCUUGCAAAGCAAGAGAUAAAAUUGAGUGAUAUGAGGUGUGCAAUUCUGUUGGUACUGGUCUGGAAAACAAUCUAGAUGUGGAGAAUAUGAGAAAGAUUUUGUCAUUUAGCUAUUAUGAGCUACCAUGCCAUUUACGGACUUGCUUGUUAUAUUUGAGCAUGUUUCCUGAAGAUUAUGAAAUUAAGAAGGAUCGUUUGAUAAGGAUGUGGAUAGGUAAAGGUUUUAUCUAAUGUGAAAAAGGAGGGAAGAGCUUAUUUGAACUCUUAGAGAGUUAUUUCAAUGAGCUUAUAAACAGAAGCAUGAUCCAAUCAAUACAUGAUAAUUCAAAUAAUAUGAUAUGGUCCUAUCAUGUGCAUGAUAUGGUGAUUGAUCUUAUCCGCUCCUUAUCAAGUGAAGAAAACUUUGUUACUGUACUAAGUAAUAUGGGAGACACAUCUCCGUCAAAUACGAUUCGGAGGUUGUCCCUUCAGAAUGGUUAGGAAAGUCAUGUGAUGGCUCAAGCUACUUUCACCAUGCAACAUGCAAGGUUAGUUGUUGUCUUUCCAGCUGCAGCUUCUCUAGUGCCACCUCUUGCCUGCUGCCGAGUUUUACAGGUUCUGGAUUUAGAGUACUGCAAUCUUUCACAAGCUAAUAGUAUCCUUAAGUACCUUGGGAAUAUACAUCACUUGAGGUACUUGGGACUAUGUAAGACAGGUAUUUCUCAGCUCCCGGAAGAAAUAGAAAACUUGUAGUUUCCAGGUUGCCUUCGAGUGUUGUCCAGCUAAAGUUGAUGUGCCUGUACAUUGACGAGUUUACGAGAGUGCCAAACGGAAUUGGAAACCUAACAUGCCUUGAACAGCUGUCAUUGUUACGCAUUAAUGACUCUGCCAUAAACAUUAUAGAAGAGUUGGGCCAGCUAAGUGAACUGAGGCAACUGUUCUUUGGAUUGUACGAGUGGAACAACAAGCUAUUGGAGUGUCUAUGCAAACUACAAAAAAUGCAGGAACUAUUUAUCGGCGGUCCUGUUCAACACAGCAUCGGCGGAUUUGGUUCCUUGGUCGCCCCUCGACAUCUCCGCAUGUUGAGUAUACGAGACAUCUGUUGGUUUUCAACACUCACUGGUAGAGAACUCGGUAUUAGUCCCGGUCGGUAGGGUGCAAAUCUCCCGAAAAUCCAUCCGGGAUAAACCAACCGAGACAAAAGGGGGUCUUUUGUCCCGGGUCACUCAACCGGGACUAAAGACCCCCUUUUAUCCCAGUUGGUAAUACUAACCGGGAUAAAACAUGUCACCACGCCAGGCGCUGCAAAACAAAAAAGAAAUCCCAGGAGGCCCCUCCACAUCGCAAGUCACAAGUCACACGAUUUUUCACGCAAAAUAUGCGCGUGCGCACUGCGUGGGAUUCGAACCCACGACCUCCAACCUUGCAUGUAGCUUCCUUGCCAUCCCACCUACACAACACAUCUAACUAUAUAGGGGAUGUAAUCCUUUUAUAUUAACUCGUGGGGGACCCUUUUAUUCCGGUUGGAAACACCAACCGGGAUAAAAGACCCCCUUUAUCCCGGUUGGUAUUACAAACUGGGAUAAAAGGGUUCGAGGGAUUUACUCCUCUUUCAGUCACCCCGUUGGGGAUCCUUUUAUCCCAGUUUGAAACACCAACCGGGAUAAAGACCCCAUUGCGUUUUAUCCCGCUUUGCAAUACCAACCGGGAUAAAAGGGGGUCUUUUAUCCCGGUUGGUGAAAGGGGUCUUUUAUCCCGGUUGGUUUUUCAAACCGGGAUAAAAGGUCUCUCAAGAUCUUUUUUUCCACUAGCCUUUGCAACCGGGAUAAAAGAUCCCGCUUGGUGAGCCCCCGCCAGUGACCGAGCUUUAGUCCCGGUUGGUGAACCUUUUGUCCCGAGCCAACUUUAAACCGGGAUAAAAUGGGACGCAUGGAAGGUGAGUUCUCUACUAGUGAGAGCCAGCUUGGUGAAUCCAUCGCUUCUUCUAGACCUCACCGUGCUAUGCAUCGACGUGAGGGAGCUACAUCAGGCCGAUCUUGAAAUCCUCGGGAGGUUGCCAGCUCUCCGCUUUCUAAAUCUGGUGGUGGACAAUAAGAACCUCGAUAUCCUUGCGGGAUUUGUCAUUGGUAGCCUUGUAAGCUGUUUCUUGUGGUAAUUUGUGUGGCCAGUGGUAUUUCAGCACGGAGCUAUGCCAAGGCUCAGGAAGCUUUUGUUCUUGUCGUUUUAUCUGCGGGAGACGAGGAAUUUCUUGCAAUGACGAUAGUCACGACUUGGGCCUCAAAAACCUGCCAUCGCUGCAGAUGUCCGAGCUGACCUGCGAUGUGAUGGUACUAGCAAGGAGGAGGCAGAGCAAGCCAAGGCUGCGCUAACCCAUGCCGGUGAAAUGCAUCCCAAUCAUCCCUCAUGCUGGAUCAAAAUUACAGGUGCGCCAGCUCCUGAUUGUUAUUCUUUACUUGUCUCCUUCCCCCUUUCUUCUAAACUGUAUUAGCGUUUAUUCCUCUGUUUGAGAUGGUCGAUCUCCAUCUGAUCUUUCACCACGCCUUUCUUCUAGCCCCUUUGCCUCAAUUCUUCUAAUCUUCCUUUCGUUCUGAUAUACAGAUGCCCUUUACGCCGGAAGGUGAAGCUGGAGCAGAGCAGAUGACAAAGUCCUCUGUUUCGCCACGCAUGCAGAGGUUAAACUGCUCGGCCAUGUGCUUUACCAGAUACCCUCAACCUGUGAGUAAACAAUGAAUGCUGCACACAUGAUUGUAAUCCCUGACUAACUUACCCCUCUCUACUCAUAUUACCGUUUAUUAUAGUCAUUGCAAAGGGACUGAGCUGUCUCCUGCGCCCCUGACCUAGUUGCCUUGUAUCGUCUCAGUGGUUCAGGGCUUUGGCUGUUUUUGGGUUAAUGUUGCAGCUUGUGAGCGUAAUCAUCUUGUGAGCCGUAUGCAUGGACGGCAGUAUGUAUUCAGUUGAUCGACCAUACUUGCAGACAUUUGAUUUGUUCAUUAUUCAGUUGCUAAAUCAUACGGAUCAAGGCAUCAAGAAGUCCAUGGUAACAUUUGUAGAUGCAGGAUUGGGCCGCAGCAGCAGUAGACGAGCCCGCUGUCCGGGUUGAAACCCAGUACUUGCACCUUCAUACAGAAUCGGCCUGUUCGCUUCAGCUUAUUCAGCCGGCUUAUCAGCCACCAAACAGUGUUUUUCUCUCACAACAAAUCAGCCGUUUCAGCUUUUCAGUCGGCUUAUAAGCGAAGCGAACAGGCUAUUAUCUUUUUCCGGAUGCUACUGGACGGCGCUGCCAUCAGCUGACUAUGCUGCAGCGGCGAUGAGCAGAGGCAUCAGCGGUGGCACAGUGAUGGCGAAGACGAAAAUAUAGAUAAAAAUAGAGAGAUAGAUAUGGAUACAUAUAGACAUAGAUUUUAAGGACCUUGAUCCUCGAAACAUAUUUUACUCUCUUAAUUGACCAAGUUCUGUGCGUUAGAAUUAGGAAUUAAUUGAAAAAUGCAAAGGCAAUACACGGUACAUGGUUCAUGCGGGAGUACGGGUUGAUGGACUAGUGAAAUCUAGAUUACAUGGUAAGAAGGGAUAGUGUGAUUGGGAGGAUGUCCUUUCGAUCCUUGAAAACUUGUUACACGUAUAUUUUGUGCAAAUAGUGUGUGACUUGUAAUUUGCGACUCGCAACAACUUGGGUAGAUCGGGGAUUACAUCCAGAUUUACGGAUUUUUUUCUUGCUAUCUUUUGGUUCUACUAUCUCACUGGCUCUUAUUGCAAGUCGGAAAGGAUACUAGCAUCUCUAUGGCCAUGCAACAACGGCACGAUACCGCCGGCUUGAAAAUAGAUACGGAUGAGCAUAUUUGUCUUUGCUCCUUUUAUUUGCCACUUCCUGGCGUCAUGCGACUUCUACAGUCAACUAUAGCCCCUUUUGGACUUGUCUUGCCUUCGCUUAUUCUCUUCUCCAUCCAUUUGGUCUGUUUCUACUAGUGAUAUUCCAUUCAAUACUAUCUUGAUUUACUAAAUCUUUAAUAGCCCUCUAGUUAGCAUAGCUUAAUUAAACAUUCUAUAGGAGAAAAAACUAACUUAUUAUAAAGUUUAAUUUGCUAGUAACAUGGCUUUCUUGAAUUAUCUGGUACAGGUACUUCAUUCUUAUUGAUGACAUAUGGAAACUCUCAGACUUCAAAAUGAUUAAACGUGCUUUGCUUGGUAAUAAUGCUGGAAACAAAAUAAUCACAACUACUCGUAUUCUCAAUAUUGCUGAACAAGCUGGCCGUGCUUACAAGUUGCAACCCAUUUCUCUGAACAACUCUCGGAAACUAUUUUUGAGAAGAAUAUUUGGUAAUGACAACAAAGACAACAAUGAAGAAGAAGAAAGAUGUUCUAACGAUGAGUUGGCCGAAGUAUCUGACAAAAUACUAAAGAAAUGUACUGGUGUGUCAUUAGCUAUAAUUACGAUGGCUAGUUUGCUAGCUUGCAAAGCAAGAGAUAAAAUUGAGUGAUAUGAGGUGUGCAAUUCUGUUGGUACUGGUCUGGAAAACAAUCUAGAUGUGGAGAAUAUGAGAAAGAUUUUGUCAUUUAGCUAUUAUGAGCUACCAUGCCAUUUACGGACUUGCUUGUUAUAUUUGAGCAUGUUUCCUGAAGAUUAUGAAAUUAAGAAGGAUCGUUUGAUAAGGAUGUGGAUAGGUAAAGGUUUUAUCUAAUGUGAAAAAGGAGGGAAGAGCUUAUUUGAACUCUUAGAGAGUUAUUUCAAUGAGCUUAUAAACAGAAGCAUGAUCCAAUCAAUACAUGAUAAUUCAAAUAAUAUGAUAUGGUCCUAUCAUGUGCAUGAUAUGGUGAUUGAUCUUAUCCGCUCCUUAUCAAGUGAAGAAAACUUUGUUACUGUACUAAGUAAUAUGGGAGACACAUCUCCGUCAAAUACGAUUCGGAGGUUGUCCCUUCAGAAUGGUUAGGAAAGUCAUGUGAUGGCUCAAGCUACUUUCACCAUGCAACAUGCAAGGUUAGUUGUUGUCUUUCCAGCUGCAGCUUCUCUAGUGCCACCUCUUGCCUGCUGCCGAGUUUUACAGGUUCUGGAUUUAGAGUACUGCAAUCUUUCACAAGCUAAUAGUAUCCUUAAGUACCUUGGGAAUAUACAUCACUUGAGGUACUUGGGACUAUGUAAGACAGGUAUUUCUCAGCUCCCGGAAGAAAUAGAAAACUUGUAGUUUCCAGGUUGCCUUCGAGUGUUGUCCAGCUAAAGUUGAUGUGCCUGUACAUUGACGAGUUUACGAGAGUGCCAAACGGAAUUGGAAACCUAACAUGCCUUGAACAGCUGUCAUUGUUACGCAUUAAUGACUCUGCCAUAAACAUUAUAGAAGAGUUGGGCCAGCUAAGUGAACUGAGGCAACUGUUCUUUGGAUUGUACGAGUGGAACAACAAGCUAUUGGAGUGUCUAUGCAAACUACAAAAAAUGCAGGAACUAUUUAUCGGCGGUCCUGUUCAACACAGCAUCGGCGGAUUUGGUUCCUUGGUCGCCCCUCGACAUCUCCGCAUGUUGAGUAUACGAGACAUCUGUUGGUUUUCAACACUCACUGGUAGAGAACUCGGUAUUAGUCCCGGUCGGUAGGGUGCAAAUCUCCCGAAAAUCCAUCCGGGAUAAACCAACCGAGACAAAAGGGGGUCUUUUGUCCCGGGUCACUCAACCGGGACUAAAGACCCCCUUUUAUCCCAGUUGGUAAUACUAACCGGGAUAAAACAUGUCACCACGCCAGGCGCUGCAAAACAAAAAAGAAAUCCCAGGAGGCCCCUCCACAUCGCAAGUCACAAGUCACACGAUUUUUCACGCAAAAUAUGCGCGUGCGCACUGCGUGGGAUUCGAACCCACGACCUCCAACCUUGCAUGUAGCUUCCUUGCCAUCCCACCUACACAACACAUCUAACUAUAUAGGGGAUGUAAUCCUUUUAUAUUAACUCGUGGGGGACCCUUUUAUUCCGGUUGGAAACACCAACCGGGAUAAAAGACCCCCUUUAUCCCGGUUGGUAUUACAAACUGGGAUAAAAGGGUUCGAGGGAUUUACUCCUCUUUCAGUCACCCCGUUGGGGAUCCUUUUAUCCCAGUUUGAAACACCAACCGGGAUAAAGACCCCAUUGCGUUUUAUCCCACUUUGCAAUACCAACCGGGAUAAAAGGGGGUCUUUUAUCCCGGUUGGUGAAAGGGGUCUUUUAUCCCGGUUGGUUUUUCAAACCGGGAUAAAAGGUCUCUCAAGAUCUUUUUUUCCACUAGCCUUUGCAACCGGGAUAAAAGAUCCCGCUUGGUGAGCCCCCGCCAGUGACCGAGCUUUAGUCCCGGUUGGUGAACCUUUUGUCCCGAACCAACUUUAAACCGGGAUAAAAUGGGACGCAUGGAAGGUGAGUUCUCUACUAGUGAGAGCCAGCUUGGUGAAUCCAUCGCUUCUUCUAGACCUCACCGUGCUAUGCAUCGACGUGAGGGAGCUACAUCAGGCCGAUCUUGAAAUCCUCGGGAGGUUGCCAGCUCUCCGCUUUCUAAAUCUGGUGGUGGACAAUAAGAACCUCGAUAUCCUUGCGGGAUUUGUCAUUGGUAGCCUUGUAAGCUGUUUCUUGUGGUAAUUUGUGUGGCCAGUGGUAUUUCAGCACGGAGCUAUGCCAAGGCUCAGGAAGCUUUUGUUCUUGUCGUUUUAUCUGCGGGAGACGAGGAAUUUCUUGCAAUGACGAUAGUCACGACUUGGGCCUCAAAAACCUGCCAUCGCUGCAGAUGUCCGAGCUGACCUGCGAUGUGAUGGUACUAGCAAGGAGGAGGCAGAGCAAGCCAAGGCUGCGCUAACCCAUGCCGGUGAAAUGCAUCCCAAUCAUCCCUCAUGCUGGAUCAAAAUUACAGGUGCGCCAGCUCCUGAUUGUUAUUCUUUACUUGUCUCCUUCCCCCUUUCUUCUAAACUGUAUUAGCGUUUAUUCCUCUGUUUGAGAUGGUCGAUCUCCAUCUGAUCUUUCACCACGCCUUUCUUCUAGCCCCUUUGCCUCAAUUCUUCUAAUCUUCCUUUCGUUCUGAUAUACAGAUGCCCUUUACGCCGGAAGGUGAAGCUGGAGCAGAGCAGAUGACAAAGUCCUCUGUUUCGCCACGCAUGCAGAGGUUAAACUGCUCGGCCAUGUGCUUUACCAGAUACCCUCAACCUGUGAGUAAACAAUGAAUGCUGCACACAUGAUUGUAAUCCCUGACUAACUUACCCCUCUCUACUCAUAUUACCGUUUAUUAUAGUCAUUGCAAAGGGACUGAGCUGUCUCCUGCGCCCCUGACCUAGUUGCCUUGUAUCGUCUCAGUGGUUCAGGGCUUUGGCUGUUUUUGGGUUAAUGUUGCAGCUUGUGAGCGUAAUCAUCUUGUGAGCCGUAUGCAUGGACGGCAGUAUGUAUUCAGUUGAUCGACCAUACUUGCAGACAUUUGAUUUGUUCAUUAUUCAGUUGCUAAAUCAUACGGAUCAAGGCAUCAAGAAGUCCAUGGUAACAUUUGUAGAUGCAGGAUUGGGCCGCAGCAGCAGUAGACGAGCCCGCUGUCCGGGUUGAAACCCAGUACUUGCACCUUCAUACAGAAUCGGCCUGUUCGCUUCAGCUUAUUCAGCCGGCUUAUCAGCCACCAAACAGUGUUUUUCUCUCACAACAAAUCAGCCGUUUCAGCUUUUCAGUCGGCUUAUAAGCGAAGCGAACAGGCUAUUAUCUUUUUCCGGAUGCUACUGGACGGCGCUGCCAUCAGCUGACUAUGCUGCAGCGGCGAUGAGCAGAGGCAUCAGCGCUGGCACAGUGAUGGCGAAGACGAAAAUAUAGAUAAAAAUAGAGAGAUAUAUGGGUACAUAUAGACAGAGAUUUUAAGGACCUUGAUCCUCGAAACAUAUAAACUCUCUUAAUUGACCAAGUUCUGUGCGUUAGAAUUAGGAAUUAAUUGAAAAAUGCAAAGGCAAUACUGACAUCGUUUUUCCUGGAUCCACAUUGAGAGGAAAAAUGAGAAUGUACUGCAACCAUAUUGCCACCGUCUACCAUCUCUUUCUUCUGCACUGCUAUGCCUGCCGCUGCGACAAAAAGAAUGGAGAAAAAUCAUGUGGCCUCAGAGGAGCUUGGGCCGGAGGAGAAGCUGUCUGAGAGGGACCUGGGAGAAGGAGAAGCUAUCGAUAUGAGAAGCAAUAAUUUGCCUAUCACCGAUCCAUACGUCUCCCACCUGCCCUGUUCCAAUAAUUGCAAGACAGCAGGACGCACAUGCUGUGUUUCAGCGUGCAAUGAAAGUAGUGAUGCAAUACUCUAGGGUGUUUGGUUACCUUUACGUGUCACAUCGAAUAUUUAGAUACUAAUUAGGAGUAUCAAACGUAGACUAUUUACAAAACCCAUUACAUAAGUGGAGGCUAAACUGCGAGACGAAUCUAUUAAGCUUAAUUAAUCCAUCAUUAACAAAUGUUUACUGUAGCAAUACAUUGUCAAAUCAUGGACUAAUUAGGCUUAAUAGAUUCAUCUCACCGUUUAGCCUCCACUUAUGUAAUGGAUUUUGUAAAUAGUCUACGUUUAAUACUCCUAAUUAGUAUCUAUACAUUCGAUGUUUCGGUGUGCUUUUUCUGUUGUGUGCGUAAUAACUUUGCUCCGCAGAACACGGUGCCCUGCUAGGUCCUGUUGUUAUUCGUUUACAAAACUGUAAGCGAUCUAAAAAACAUUUGUCAAGUGGAUUUGUCAAGAAAUUGCAAGGAAACUUUUCACAGUCGACAGGGACCAAAGAAAUUCCAUCGAUAUUUCAGGCUGUGAUCAAUGGGUUUCUACACUGAUAGGCAUACCGCAGGCCUUGACCUCGUGCCUUGCCGUGGUUCUCUUGACAAACAGAUGAGGAAGAAUUCAAAGUCCUUCUCAGGUGUGACGCGCAAUCGUCACAGUCGCAUGGGCCACGAAUGAUAGGGUUCCACAGUGACCUCUUGUAUUAGCUCUCUCGUCUUCCGGUAUGAACGGUCGUCAUUCGUCUGGUGAGGCCGAUAUUAAUUGUUUGCAUCCAUUUGCAUCUUGGUCAUGUUGCAGAAUUGUAUGCAUAAGCAGAGACUUGUGACGUACGAGGCGUGGUUGUGCUCAAAAGCUAGCUUAAGCACCACAGUGUAACUCCCUGCUCACACACAUACACAGCAAACUUCCUCCUUGCACCCAGAGGUAGAGCUAUGGAAGUCGUAGCGGGCGCACUGCCGAGUCUCCUCCCCAAGCUUGCUGAGCUACUUGUUGGAGAGUACAAUCUUCAGAAGGAGGUGAAGAAGGGGAUAAUGUUCCUCCAAGAUGAGCUUGAGAGCAGCUGGGUGCCCUCGAGAAAUCUCCAAGAUACCAUCAGACAAAAUUGAUGACCAGGACAAGAUCUGGGCCAGGAAUGUGUCACACCUGAUUUUAGAGCAAAAUCAGAUGAAUAAAUUACAUAUGCGCUAGGAUCAAAUUUUACACGUGCAACGACUUCAGUAAAUAACAUAGAUAGUGCCAUGUGCGUUAGGAUCAAGUUUCACAUAUGCAACGACUUCAGUAAAUAACAUAGAUAGUGCCAAAAGAUAAAGAGAGUAUUAAAUUUAUUACAUGACCAAAAGUUUUUAAUUCGAAUAUCAAAACGAGUCUUUAUUCUAACAGUGGAACUCCAUCAACGAUGACUACGACUCCACAUGCAGUUGACUGGUGGCACACAUACGCCUGGAAUUUUUCAAAGUCUUCAAGAACCUCCUCAAAGUUGACGUGAUCCAAACAACGGUUUUUGCAAGGGUGAGUACAAUUAUGGUUGAUACUCAAUAAGCGUGAAGAAUGUGUAGUGUAAGGCUAUUCAAAGAUAGGCUAAGGUUUAAUAGCAUUUUAAUUGGUUGGUCAAAUUUUAUUAGCAAUUACUAAGUAUAAGUUUAUACCAUCCACAUUACACAUGAACAUAAAUAAAGAUCACAACAAUAAAUAACAUCAAUUUAAUUCAACUUUCGAUAAAUUAAUCAUGUUAGGGUCCAGACCGCUCUUGACUGUGAGCACGACUGAUAUAACAGUUUUACACUCUGCAGAGGUUGCACAUUUUUACCCACAAGUUGCAUAAAAGUUCAAAAGAACUUUGGACCCAACCAUACUGUGCGGGCCAGGCACAAUACCAUACUUCCAAGGUACAUGACUCAAUGCUCUGGUCGCUCUGCAGGAAUUGGUACUUGAUUUUCCCGCCACUCUACCAUGAGGUAGACUAGUGUCUAGGACUUGAUUGCUAUCCUUGGCUUGAAGUCUAAGGAUAAUGCCCCGGGUUCCACUGCCCACUUGGAUAUCCUCCCCGUUGCAUCGCGGUUGUGGAGAGUUUCGCCCAAGGGAAUGUCUGUGACGAUGGAGAUGCUAUGCUCCUGGAAGUAGUGGUGUAUCUUCCGCGAGAUGAAUAGUAUUGCAUAUAACAAUUUCUGGACUAGCUGGUUGCUUUUUUACAGUGACAGGUAUAGUGCGAAAACUGUGGCGGAAGUGCUUGUACCAACCCAAUUAAUAUUUUGUUUAAGAGAAAGUUUAGUUGGGAUAAGUUAAUUGAGUAGUACAAACUUGAUUUCUCGAAGAUUUUUGUACGCUGGAAGAUUUCUCGAAGAACAAAGCAUGCAUGAACAAAGCAACGCUGAGACCAAUGCCAGGGCUUGUCCUGGGUGCCCAGUAGCAUGUAUAAUCACGCAACUGCAAGCAAUCAAAAAAGAUCUUGAGAACAAGUGGACCGGGGUGAUUGUAUUUGUCAAGAAAUUGCAAGGACCCUUCACAGUUGACAGGGACUAAAGAAAUUGCAUUGAUUAUCUAGGACCCUUCACAGUCUACAGGGACUAAAGAAAUUGUAUUGAUAUUUCAGGCUGUGCUCAAUUAGUUUCUACACUGAUAGGCAUACCGCAGACCUUGACCUCGUGCCUGGACGUGGUUCUCUGAAGAAACAGAUAAGGCAAAAUUCAAUGUCCUUGUUAGGUGCAACGUGCAAUUGUUACAAUUGCAUGGGCCACUGAAUGAUAGGGUUCCAUAGUGACCUAUUGUAUUAGGGGGUGUUUGGUUUGGGGCUGCUAAAGUUUAGUCACUUUUAGUCCCUAAACUGCCAAACACGGUGACUAAAAGUCCUUUAGUCCCCAAGAGGUUGCUAAAAGGGACUAAAAGGGACCUUGGACAGGGUGUGCCCCUCAUUAAUACCCCGUCCCUCCCUUCCCCACCCCGCCGCUGGCCUCCGCCCUUCUCGGCACUCGCCUCGCCGCCAGCCCCCGCCGGCCCCGGCCACCCGCCCGCCGCUCCUGGCCCACCGGCCGCUCCUGCCCGUCGAGAGGGCCCCGCAAGGCUGCGCACGGGGAGGCGCAGGGACGCCACGCGGCCGCCGGCAUUGCAGGACAUGCUAUCCCAGGCGCAGCACGCAGUGGCGGCAGGGGAGGAGGAGGGGACCACGCGGCGCGAAGGCUGGCGCCACCGGCGCCCGUGAGGUUCCCGGCGAAGGCCCCCAGUGCGCGGAGGUUGUCCCGGUGGCAUGACACGGCUGCCGCAGCGGCGGCGCGCGACAGGAGGAGGAGUGGGAGUAAGAGUGCGCAUUUGGCGGCCAUGGAUUUGAGGCUCGGGCAUGUGCUGUGUGUGCCUGCAUGGGGAAGCAGAGAAGGAAAAAGGUAGCGGGAGGCAUUGAUUAGGGGUAGUUUGGUCUUUGUUCAACUGCUUUAACGGCCUUUAGUCACUAGAAUCAAACAGGAGGAUUAAAGUUUAGGGGGUGUUUGGAAGGGGUGCUAAACUUUAGCACCCCACUUUUAGCUCCCUUUUAGCACAUCGGUUCCCAAACAGGGAUGAUAAAAGGUGUGUGCUAAAGUUUAGCACCUCCAUUUUCUUUAGCACAUCCAAGAGGUGCUAAAAGGUGCUAAUGGGUGCUAAAAGUGGUCCAAGCCCACUUUUUCCCCUGUUGCCCUCCCGCAUCCCCUUUCUCUCUCUCCCACAACGCAUAUGAGGGGCACUGUUGUCAUUUGCCACCAAAGGUGCUAAAGUUUAGCACACUAUCCAAGCAGCCCAAGGUACUAAACUUUAGCCCUCCAUUUAAGGGUGCUAAACUUUAGCACUUGGUUCCCAAAUGGGGCCUUAGUCCAGUGAAUAAAGGGGGAUUAAAGUUUAGGGGGCGUUUGGUUCCUUGAGCUAAAGUUUAGUCCAUAUCACAUCGAAUAUUCGGAAGCUAAUUAGGAGGACUAAAUAUGAGUUAAUUAUAAAACUAAUUGCAGAGAUGGAGGCUAAAAGGCGAGACGAAUCUUUUAAGCCUAAUUAAUCUAUCAUUAACAAAUGGUUAUUGUAGCAGCACAUUGUCAAAUCAUGAACUAAUAGACUUAAUAGAUUCGUCUCGCCGUUUAGCCUCCAUCUAUGUAAUGGGUUUUGUAAAUAGUCUAUGUUUAAUACUCCUAAUUAGAAUCUAAACAUUCGAUGUGACAGGGGCUAAAAAUAAGCAACGGGACCAAACGCCCCCUUAGUUUAGUCCCUAAAGGAACAAACAGGUCCUUAGCUCUCUCAUCUUCCGGUAUGAAUGGUCAUUCGGCUGGUGAGGCCGAUAUUAAUUGUUGCAUCUAUUUGCAGCUUCUGAUAUGUUGCAGAAUUGUAUGCAUAAGCAGAGACUUGGUCAAUGCAACCAGGGAGGAAAUUGGAAAACGUAUAUAUAUACAAAAACAUGCUGGCAUGAGACCAUAAGAAAUUCUCUUGCAGCAGAAUUGGAGCUUCCCGUCACUGUUGCGCCUUCGUGAUCGGUCGGUCUAGGGUUUUGUCGGUGGGGUGGCUGGCAGCAUGGUGAACCUCGUACCAUGCGCCCUGGCCCCCACCUCUAUUUUUAUAGGGCAGGUGACAAGGACCCACCACCCAAUGCUAGGGUGGGCACCCCCGAUCAAGGCGCGAGUUAAGGGCUCAAUGGGCCGUUGGGCCCAUUAGAGAAGAGAUCAAUCUAACAACAUGGACUUGCCGGCGGCCGCACCUAAUCCUUCAUGGAAGAGGCGUACAGAUAAGAGCAAGUAAUCAAGAGAACAAGUGCAUGGGAGAGCAUUAUAGAGUAUUUGUCCAGAAAUUGGAUUAGUAUGUCCUGAACUCACGAUAGUGACCGGAGAAAAGGCAGCGAAACGGAACCGGAAACGAUGGGGAGACCAUGGCCUUGACCUCGAGUCGUCGACUGGAGUGAGCACGUGAGCGUGGCCCUCCUGGACAAGCAGCGGGGCCAGGAGCAGGACAUGCAGGGAUCCAAUAAUUCCCUGCAUCGAUCCCCAUCGGGCUCUUUCGUUCUCUGCCAAGCCAGCAGCGACCAGCAAGCAUUGAGUUUGGUGGUUGUACCAGCAAGUAGUGGGUUGGUGACAUACCAAAAAUAGUUGGCAAAUGGGAAUAUUUACGACUUUUUGAUGUUCCUACGCAUUGGUAGCCACGUUAUAACAAGAUGAUAUCACAUUCUAUUGGUGCGUAGGUCCUGUUGUUCGUUAUUUAUUUAUUUUUUUUUGCCGAAAGUGUACCUCCGUAUGUAGAUGAGGCUAUCACAUUCUUUCUUUCUGCAACCUGUCGGUUAAACUAAUAAUAAUGAGUAAGCCGGAGAGAAAAGCGCACGUCAGCACCAUGUGAGCGGGCCCCACCAUGUGCCACCGAAAGGAAGGUGAUGUGCAGGAGCAAUACUUUUGCCUUUUGCUGUAGCCGCAUGGGCCUCUGGAGAGAGAGAAGAGAAGAGAAGAGGAUUGAGAAAAAUAAAACAUUUUUGUACGUGGGUCCCACAAAAGUUUGUAAAAAUAUUUCCCCUUGCGACCAACCUGCCCUUGACGUGACCUCGAGCAUCAAUUAUAAUUUGCCUGUCCCUUCCUGCAUCCGCAUCCCAUCAACCUCUCGUGCUGUUCCAAGGCGCUUGCGAGCUGUGUUGCGGCCGAGCAAGCUUGAAUCAAGCAACCUCGGUCCGGCGACGAGCGGCGGGCAGCGCGAUCCGGCCAUGGAGGUGGUGACAGGGGCACUGCCGAGCGUCAUCACCAAGCUUGGUGACCUGCUCGUCGGUGAGUACAAGCUGCAGAAGGGGGUGAAGGGAGAGAUCAGCUUCCUCCAAGCUGAGCUCGUGAGCAUGAAGGGUGCUCUUGAGAAAGUCUCCAACACACCGGCUGACCAGCUUGACAUUCAGGACAAGAUUUGGGCCAAGGAUUUGAGAGAGCUGUCCUACGAUAUAGAGGACAAUAUUGACACAUUCAUGGUCCGUGGAGAGGGCAAUGAGCAGGCCAAGCUGCGUGGCAUCAAGAAGUUCAUUGAUAGAAGUGUUGGUUUGUUCAGAAAGGCCAAGGUUCGCCAUGGCAUUGCUACUGAAAUCAGAGACAUCAAACUCCGUGUUGAAGAGGUGGCCAAGCGGCAUGAUCGGUACAAGUUAUCAAACAGUAAUGUAGCUAAGCCUGUCCCAAUCGACCCUCGAUUACUUUAUCAGUACGAUAAGGUGACUGAGCUCGUUGGCAUUGAGGAGGCAAGAGAUGAGGUAAUUCGGAUUCUGAUGGAAGGCAAUGAAGUGUCCAAGCAGCAAGACAAGAUAAUUUCCAUUGUUGGGUUUGGAGGCCUGGGAAAGACAACUCUUGCUGAUGUGGUGUAUAAAAAGCUUAGAGCACAAUUUGAGUGCGCAGCUUUUGUUUCGGUAUCUCAGACACCUGACCUGGAAGAAUUACUCAAGCGCAUGUUCUGUCAACUUGUCGGGAGGGAAAGUAACAAGAGCAGCGAUGUUGCCAGAGAGCUCAGAGAAUUCCUCGAGAAUAAGAGGUAUGAAAGCAUUUCACUACACUUUAUUGGCAUCUGUUUAUAUCUAUCUUUUUGUUUGUUUGUAUUUUCAAAUAUGGACAUUGCAGCACCUAGUAAUCAGAUUUUCAUUACUAGAAGAAACAGGCUCCUCAUUAUCAGCUCAUAUGUGUAGUAAAUUUGAAACCGAUAUGGAUAUGUUAUCCAUGCUAACUCAUAAUGUGAGCCAGUAGUGGUAGGUCUCCAAGUAUUAUUCACCAGUAUGGAUGCUAGUUAAGUAUGCAUAUUAGUUAUCCUUAUGCCUCUUAUUACGAGACCAGUGCUGAUGCUUUGCACGCUUGUAAUUAUAAUUUUGUCUUGUUUUAAAAUUUGUAACUUUUUUCAGACUUCAUAUGACAAUUGUAGGUUUCAGCGAGAUCUACAACUAUUUAGUUGAAUAUUUAAUUUAAAGUUACUUAGAUGGCUAUAUAAUUGAUUAAAAAAUUAGAUGAUGAGGGUCAAAAGGAAGAAAACUCUCCACUGAUGUUAGCAAUAAAAUCUAGAUUACAUGGUAAGAACGGAUAGUAUGAUGGGGAGGAUGUCCUUUCGAUCCCUGAAAACUUCUUACACGUCUAUUUUGUGCGAAAAGUGCGGGAAUUGUGAUUUGCGACUUGCAACCACUUAGGUAGAUUGGGGAUUACAUCCAGAUUUACAGAUUUUUUCUUACUACCUUUUAGUUUUACUAUCUCACUGGCUCUUAUUACAAGUCAGCAAGGAUACUCGCAUCUCUAUCGGCCAUGCAACAACGGCAUGGAUACCACCGGCUUGAAAAUAGAUAUGGAUGAGCAUAUUUGUCUUUGCUCCUUUUAUUUGCCACUUCCUGGCUUCAUGUGACUUCUACUGUCAACUGUAGCCCCUUUUGGUCUUGUCUUGCCUCCACUUGUUUUCUUCUCCAUCCAUAUGUCUGCUUCUACUAGUGAUAUUCCUUUCAAUGCUAUCUUGAUUUACUAAAUCUUUAAUAGCCCUAUGGUUAGCAUAAUUUAGACAUUCUAUAUGAAAAAAAACUAGAAGUUUAUAACUUAUCAAGUUUAAUAUGCUAGUAACAUGGCUUUAUUAAAUUAUCUGGUACAGGUACUUCAUUGUUAUUGAUGACAUAUGGUACAUCUCAGACUGGAAAAUGAUUAAGCAUGCUUUGCCUGGUGAUAAUGUUGGAAACAAAAUAAUCACAACUACCCGUAAUCUUAAUAUUGCUGAACAAGUUGGCGGUGCUUACAACUUGCAGCCCAUUUCUCUGAACAACUCUCGAACACUAUUUUUUAGAAGAAUAUUUGGUAAUGGAAACAAAGACAACAAUGAAGACAUAGUAAAAUGUCCUGACGAUGAGUUGGCCGAAGUAUCUGACAGAAUACUGAAGAAAUGUGCUGGUGUGCCAUUAGCUAUAGUUACGAUGGCUAGUUUGCUAGCUUGCAAAGCAAGAAAUAAAAUGGAGUGGUACGAGGUGUACAAUUCUGUUGGUACUGGUCUGGAAAAUAAUCUAGAUGUGAAGAAUAUGAGAAAGAUUUUGUCAUUUAGCUAUUAUGAGCUACCAUGCUAUUUAAGGGCUUGCUUGUUAUAUUUGAGCAUGUUUCCUGAAGAUUAUGAAAUUGAGAUGGAUCGUUUGAUAUGGAUGUGGAUAGGUGAAGGUUUUAUCAAAUGUGAAGAGGCAGGGAAGAGCCUAUUUGAACUUGGAGAAAGUUACUUCAAUAUGCUUAUAAACAGAAGCAUGAUCCGACCACUACAUGAUGAUGAUAUGAUAUCAAGAUGUCGUGUACAUGAUAUGGUGCUUGAUCUUAUCCGCUCCUUGUCAAGUGAAGAAAACUUUAUUACUGUACUAAGUGAUGUGAGAGGCACAUCUCCGUCAAAUACGAUUCGGAGGUUGUCCCUUCAGAAUAGCCAGGAAAGUCAUGUGAUGGCUAAGGCUACAUGGAGCUUGCAACAUGCAAGGUCAGUUGUUGUUUUUCCAGCUGCUGCUUCUCUAGUGCCGCCUCUUGCCUGCUGCCGAGUUUUACGUGUUCUGGAUUUAAAGGGCUGCAAUCUUUCACGAGCUAAUAGUAGCCUUAGGUACCUUGGGAAUCUGCAUCACUUGAGGUACUUGGGACUUAAUAGGACAUAUAUUUCUCAGCUCCCGGAAGAAAUAGGAAACCUGCAGCUUCUACAGACAUUGCAUGUAAGAAAUAAUAAAAUUUCCAGGUUGCCUUCGAGUGUUGUCCUGCUAAGAAAGUUGAUUUGCCUAUACAUUGGCGGGUCUACAAGAGUGCCAAACGGAAUUGGAAACCUGACAUGCCUUGAACAGCUGUUAUGCUUACGCAUUGAUGACUUCAACAGAAACAUUAUAGAAGAGUUGGGCCAGCUAACUGAACUGAGGCAGCUGCAUAUUGUAUUGGACGAGUGGGACGACAAGCUAUCGGAGUGCCUAUGUAAGCUACAAAAGAUGCAGAAACUCGAUAUCAGGAUGGAUCCUAGUCAACGCAGCAUCAGCGGAUUGGAUGCCUGGGUCACCCCUCGACAUCUCCGCUUAUUGGAUAUACGAUUCAGCUGCUGGUUUUUAACACUUCCAGCUUGGGUGAAUCCAUUGCUUCUUCCGGACCUCACCAAUCUACACAUCGCCUUGAGGGAGCUACAUCAGGCCCAUCUCAAAAUCCUUGGGAGGUUGCCAGCUCUCCGCUUUCUAGAACUGGAGGUGGACAACAAGAACUUCGGUCUCCUUGCGGGAUUCGUUGUUAGUGCUGGUGCAUUCCCGUGCCUUGUAGACUGUUACUUCCAUCAAUUUGUGUGGCCAGUGGUAUUUCAGCAGGGAGCAAUGCCAAGGCUCAGAGGGCUUCUGUUCUAUGAGUUUUAUCUGCGGGGGGUAAGAAGACUUGCCUGGAAGGACGAUAGUCUCGACUUGGGCCUGAAAAACCUGCCAUCGCUAGAGUUUGUCCGUGCUGGCCUGCGAUGUGAUGGUGCUGGCAAGGAGGAGGCAGAGCAAGCCAAGGCUGCGCUGACGCAUGAAGCUGAAAUGCAUCCCAAUCAUCCCAUUCAUGCUAUCAAUAUUAGAGGUGCGCCUGCUCCUGAUUGUUAUUCCUUACUUGUCUCCUUCCCCCUUUCUUCUAAACUUUAUUUGCGUUUAUUCCUCUGUUUGAGAUGGUGGGAUCUCCGAGUGAUCUUUCACCACGCCUUUCUUCUAGCCCCUUUGCCUCAAUUCUUCUAAUCUUCCUUUGGUAUAUUUCGGUCUGAUAUACAGUUGAGUAUGACGAUGACGAUGACGAGUAUGACGAUGACGAUGACGAGUAAUAUAAGACUUUACGCCGGAAGGUGAAGCUGGAGCAGAGCAGAUGACAAAGUCCCUCUGUUUCGCCACGCAUGCAGAGGUUAAACUGCUCGGCCAUGAGCUUUACCGACUCAGAGCAUGCGUUUGAGACUGAGAGCUUUGAUCGUUUCUGCUGUGCAUCAGAUACUUCGGCCAUGGCAUUUCGUUGCGAGAGUGUAGGAUGACAUUGUCAGUGGAUAUGAUUGUAAUCCCUGACUAACUUCCCCCUCUGUAGUCAUAUUACCGUUUACUUUACUCAUUGCAAAGGGACUGAGCUGUCUCCUGCGCCCCUGAUCUCUGUACUCAGGGCCUUGGCUGUUUAUUUUGAUGAAUUUUUUUUAGAUUAAGUGAUGAAAGAUAAAAACAAUGUAUUUUUGGGUUAAUGUUGCAGCUUGUGACCGUAAUCAUCUUGUGAGCCGUAAGCAUGGACGGCAGUAUGUAAUCAUCUUGUGAGCCGUAAGCAUGUAUCCAUUGUGAGCCGUAAACAUUUUAAUAUUUGGGAUUUGAAUGAUACUCCAGGACUAGUUAUGUGUUCUGAAGUUGCAUUGUAAGAGUUUAAGAACCUUGAUGGCACCUCGGAACAUAUUUUACUCUCUUAAUUGACCAAGUUCUUCCCUCUCGUAAUUUAUUUCAUUUUUAAGCGCCAAUUUCUGUGCGUUAGAAUUAGGAAUUAAUUGAAAAAUACAAAGGCAGUAUUGACAUCGUUUUUCCUGGAUCCACAUGAGAGGAAAAAUGAGAAUGUACUGCAACCAUAUUGCCACCGUCUACCAUCUCUGGACUGCCAUGCCUGCCGCAGAUUGGUGGCACCGUCUACCCGUGUGAGUUUGUUGGCGCUAUUGCAGAGCGUAUGUACCAUUCCCACUAUUAUGACAUAAUGAAUUGAUUGUUGCACACCAUUUUAGAUUGGUGUAAUACAUAAUCAUGUCCAUAGCUUUACUUCCUUCAUGACUACUGCACGCUUCACCGUGGCAUGUAGUGUCUGGUAUGUUAACGUGUGAACAGGAGGAGGUACAUCAAGAACAUAUGGUCUACACUUUGUGCACUAAAGCACAUCAGAAGUCUGUUUUCCAAAGAUCUAGUGUCGAUUAAACAACUUCUACCAUAUAUACACCGAAAGAAACAGAAGUUAGUUAGACUGUGCCAUAUCCACAUCUUCGAAUGAAGGCGUAGAUCAGCAAAUAUUCCAUUGAACUUGACAAAAAAGUUAGUUAGGUACUGCAUUGUUAUUGAUGACAUAUGGAGUGUCUCGAUUUGGGAUACGAUUAGAUGUGCUUUGCCCGAUGAUGUUGGUGGAUACAUAAUUAUCACAACCACUCGUGUUUUAAAGGUAGCCAAACAAGUUGGUGGUGCCUACACGAUGAAACCCCUUUGUCUUGAGAGCUCCCGAAAACUACUGUAUGGAAGAAUAUUUGGUAAUGGGAACAAAGACAACAAUGAAGACAUAGUAAAAUAUCCUGACAAUGAGUUGGCCGAAGUAUCUGAAAGAAUACUGAAGAAAUGUGCUGGUGUGCCAUUAGCUAUAGUUACGAUGGCUAGUUUGCUAGCUUGCAAAGCAAGAAAUAAAAUGGAGUGGUAUGAGGUGUACAAUUCUGUUGGUACUGGUCUGGAAAACAAUCUAGAUGUGGAGAAUAUGAGAAAGAUUUUGUCAUUUAGCUAUUAUGAGCUACCAUGCUAUUUAAGGGCUUGCUUGUUAUAUUUGAGCAUGUUUCCUGAAGAUUAUGAAAUUGACAAGUAUCGUUUGAUAAAUAUGUGGAUAGGUGAAGGUUUUAUCCAAUGUGAAAAAGUAGGGAAGAGCCUAUUUGAACUCGGAGAGAAAUACUUCAAUGAGCUCAUAAACAGAAGCAUGAUCCAACCAAUACAUGAUAGUUUAGAUGAUAUGUUAUUAAGUUGUCGUGUACAUGAUAUGGUGCUUGAUCUUAUCCGCUCCUUGUCAAGUGAAGAAAACUUUAUUACCGUACUGAGUAAUAUGGGACGUACAUCUCCGUCAAAUACAAUUCGGAGGUUAUCCCUUCAGAAUGGCCAGGAAAGUCAUGUGAUGGCUCAAGCUACAUGGAGCUUGCAACAUGCAAGGUCAGUUGUUGUCUUUCCAGCUGCUGUUUCUCUAGUGCCGCCUCUUGACUGCUGCCGAGUAUUACGUGUUCUGGAUUUAGAGGACUGCCAUCUUUCACAAGCUAAUAGUAGCCUUAAGUACCUUGGGAAUUUGCAUCACUUGAGAUACUUGGGACUUCGUGGGACAGGUGUUUCUCAGCUCCCGGAAGAAAUAGGAAACCUGCAGCUUCUACAAACAUUAGAUGUAAGGGGUACUGAAAUUUUCAGGUUGCCUUUGAGUGUUGUCCAGCUAAGAAAGUUGAUGUGCCUAUACAUUGACUGGUUUACAAGAAUUCCAAACGGAAUUGGAAACCUGACAUGCCUUGAACAGCUGUCAUGGUUACACAUUGAUGACUCUACCAUAAACAUUAUAGAAGACUUGGGCCAGCUAACUGAACUGAGGCAGUUGUAUAUUCAAUUGAACAAGUGGAACGACAAGCUGUUGGAGUGCCUAUGCAAGCUACAAAAGAUGCAGGAACUAGUUAUCACGGUCUAUCCUUGUCAACGCAGCAUCGGCGGGUUGGAUGCCUGGGUCGCCCCUCGACAUCUCCGCAAAUUGGAUACACUACACACCUGUUGGUUUUCAACACUGCCGGCUUGGGUGAAUCCAUCGCUUCUUCCGGAUCUCACCAAGCUAGACAUCGCCGUGAGGGAGCUACAUCAGGUUGAUCUCGAAAUCCUCGGGAGGUUGCCAGCUCUCCGCUUUCUAAAACUGAAGGUG
rnacentral:lncRNA from 1 species